rnacentral:lncRNA from 1 species
GGAGAAGGGCUUAGUUUGUGGAUGGACCCCACAGUUGAAGAUCCUGAGCCAUCCAUCAAUAGGGGGGUUCAUUUCCCACGGUGGGUGGAACUCCAUCCUGGAGAGUUUGUGGUGUGGUGUACCGAUUAUGGUGUGGCCUAUGUACGCAGAGCAAAAACUCAAUGCGUGUAAAAUAGUGAGAGAAUUGGGAUUGGGUGUGGGAGUCACAGAGAAUGAGGACUUCAUUGACGGUCGAGAUUUGUUAAUGAUUUACACGGACGGUGGAGAGCUAGUAAAGUGCGAAAAGCUGGAGAUAGGAGUGAAGAGGUUGAUGGACGGUGAUAACGAGGUGAGGAGGAAGGUGAAGCAGAUGAGUGACACGUUUCGAGAGGCUGUGAUGGACGGUGGAUCUUCGUUUGUCGUACUGCAACAAUUUAUUGAUGAUGUUUUCACCGAAAUAAAAUAAUAAGAUGGUAUCAUGUGAAAUAAAAUGGAUUUCUCUCCGCUACAUAAUCUAUUGAGUACAUUACAUGAAUUAUAAAUAUUAGUAUAAGAAUCAUGUUACUUGAACAUUUAGGCUAUGUUUGGUUAUGGAAAAUGUUAAGGAAAAAAAAUGAUAUUCUAAUUGUUGGUUUCAUUUAUGAAAAAAAUAAACGAAAAUUAAAUAUAAUUAAAAUUAAUUAAAAUUUUAUGUAUUUUAAAAUUAUUUAAUAUUUAUAUAGUAGUGAAAAAUAAGUAAAAUAAGUUUGAAGAAACAUAUAAAAAUAAUUUAUUGACUUUGAAACUUUUUUUCUUUCACUUUUUUUUUCUUUCUAUUUUUCCUUCACAUUUUUCCUCAAAUUUUCACAAACCAAAUAUUGCUUUAAUGAUUUUAUAAUAGAAAGAAAAAUUUAGAAAUAAAUAUUUGAUUAUUUAAAUUUUCUUUAAUUAUUGAUAGAAUCAAUUUACAUCAUGUACAAAAAUAAUUUAAUGCCCAAAUAUUUAAAAAUAUGGUUAUUUAAUUAAAAGGAUCAUUGGAAACCCAAUUUUAGAGGUCCAAACUUCCAUCACCUUUUUUUUUUUACAUUAUUUUGAAAAAAAUACCCGUAUUAUUUUCAUAUAAAAACAUUAUUAGCCCAAGGGUUCUCCUAAUCAUGUUUUGAUGAUAACAAACCAUGGUUAAGUUACUAAUUGGUUUAAAUUAUAAAUAAUUUCAUGUGUUAAUUUGAAAAUUCAUCAAAUGACCUAAUGGAUGCAAAAUCAAGACUUUUGAAAGACCUUUUAAUCACCGGAAACAUAUGUAAGAUGAAUGCAUGGGUGUACUUAGGAUUUUCGUAUCAUUUCAUGCAUCUUUGAAAACUUGGUUUAUGUAUUAAAGUUAUAUUUCCAUCAAAAUCCGAGUUCUAUCAAAUGAACCUUAGGCAAAACGUUUCAAAAUUGAAAUAUUAUUUUACCUAAAGACCUUGCCUAAGUGCUAGAAGCAAAAAUACCAGAAAAAGAUAGGUUUUCGAGCAAAAAAUGGUGAACUGGUCGAGGCACUAGCCAAUCGGUUGAGGUACCAGUCAACCGGUUACUCUUUCCCAGUUGUGGUUCGGUCGAGAGAUGAAAAAAACCUUCUCUUUUUUCCAAUAGCCUUUCUUUCUCGGUCGAAGUCUGAUCAAGAUCUAGUCGAGGGUAACGGUCACCUGCCAAGCAUUUAAUGCUCCAACAGCUAGUAAACCGGUUUACUCCCAACUCGACCGGUUGAGAUUGUUUUUUGGUUUUUUGGCUCCCGAGAUUAGAAACCUAUAAAUUGAGAGUUCCACUUCAUUUAUGAGUAAGAAACACAUACGUUUAUUUGUUUACCUACUUGUUCUUGCUAUAAAAACUCUCAUUUCUUUUCUUGGUGCAUUAAAUCUCCAUUUGCAUAUUCUUUAGUGUACCUUUGUGAUUCAUCGUAGUCUUGAGUUGUAUUUUAGCCAUUGUUGAGCUAAGUUGAGAGAUUCAAACUUGUUAAUUGAGUGUUAAAACCGUCAAGUGAGUAGAGACUUGAAAAAAUUGUGUAAAAGCUCAUUGUAGCUAGAAUCCAAGUGUAAAAAGUAAUUAGAAGUUUGGUUGAAACUUUAAGUAUAAGUGGAACUCUCACUUAGUUAGGAGGUUGAAGAGAGUAGAUGUAGGUAAGGAAGUGACGAACCACUAUAAAUCUGAGUUUGCUUUCUAUAACCUUAUCUCUUUAUAUUCGUACUUCUUGUAUUUAAUUUUAUUGUGUUUAAAAAUAAUUUUUUUUUAACUCCAAUUCACCUCUCUCUCAGAUGUUUUUAUCUAUUUAAAUUAGUCCUUUAUUUUCUCAAACAUAUUGUAAAUUCUUGAAACUGUCAAAGACAUUUAUGUCAAAAAUUGGUUAAUUUUCAAACAAAAACAUGAGAAGGAAUAAAUUCACAAAUAUGAGGAUUAUUUCAUCCAUUUUAACCAAUUAUUUCUUUAAAAUACUAUGACUAUGUUUGGUUCUCAUAAAACUUGAGGGAAAAUGUAAGGGAAAUAAAGUAGGGAAAAAAAAAAAUGAGAAAAAAGAAAAAGUAGAAAAAAAAAUUUUAAAGUUUAAGGAAUUCUUUUUAUUUGCUACUUCAAACUCAAUUCACUUUAUUUUAACAUGUUGAUAUAAAUAUUAAAUAAUUAAAAGAUACAUAAAUUUUUAACUAGUUUUAAUUAUAUUUAAUUUUCUUUGAAAUUUUCCAUAAAAUUAUUUUUUUAAGUAUUUUUUUUUUCUUUUCGUAGUACUUUCCACAACCAAAGAUAGCCUAUAUCUUAGGAGAUUUGAUAGAAAAUUGUCUUUUUGUACUAAACUACUAGUAAGUAAACAAACCCACAUCAUAAGAUGUAAUAUAAGAGUUAUGAAAGAUAGCCUAUGUUACCAUUUGCUUAUGCCAACCCAAUGGGUUUUUUAACAUCUACGACAAAUUGAAAAAAAAAAAAAAAAAGUAUUCUUAAAAAUGGGAUAGGUCUAAAAUUGAUUUUUUGAAAAAAAAAAAAAAAAAAGAAGAAAAAAAGUUGAAGUUAUCACUUAUUUUAGUUUAUUUUUUAAAAGGGCAAAAAAAAAAAAAAAAAAAACUUGUGUGACUUCUUAUUUGGAGGAGACAUGUCUGUAAAAAUCAAGUCUAAAUUUGGGGGUUUAGUUACCUAUUGGGAAGGUACGGUAAAAAGCCGUAGCACCUCUCUAAGCCUUUAUACCAACGAUCUCUACUAAACAAAUUGAGAAAAUUAUGACAAUUAAUUAAUUAAUUAAAGAUACCAAGAUUGAGGACACAAAUCAAUGUAUAGGAAAAUAAUUAUAAAAGUAUAUUACAAUAAUGUACAAGGUAAAAAAAACAAGAGAAUUAAGCAAACUGAUUAAAAAAAUAUUUCAAAAAAUUACUUUUUCAAGAAAUUCUAAUGAGUUUAUUAAAAACAUUUCGAAUUAAUGAUUUCAAUUUAUUUAUUUACAAAAAAAAAUUCAAUUGAUAUGCAACAAAUUAUUUGAUUGAAUUUUAUUUGUAUUCAAUUUUUAUUUUCAAGAAAAUCAUUUGCAUUUUUUUUAUCAAAAGAAUUUAAUACAAAAUUUCAAUUUCACAAUAAUAAAUUAUUUUUACUUGCUUUUACUAGAAAAAGUAUGAAUUUUUACAACUUUGUUUACAAAAGUAUUUCAAAUUUUUAAACUAUUAUUUUUAUUAAAACAUAAUUACUACUAAACUAUUUCUUUUAUUAAAACAAAAUUUCUAAGCUACCAAGUGUUCAAUUUUGUAUGCACAAUAAACAUAUAUAAAAAUAUGUUUAUAAAAACCAAUAAAAAUGAAGGUAAACAAUGUAACCUCCAUGCCCCAUUUAGAGCUUUCCAACCUAUUUUUCUUUCAUGAAAUUUGGUUUUUCACGUAUCAUAAAGCCAUAUUGGGUCAAAAUAAUACUAAUAAUAUAUUUGGUCAAAAUAAUACUAAUAAUGGAAUGGGCCCAUGUGAAACAAAAAUGAGCUUAAAAUAAAUAUCCAUCCAGAGCCCAAAAUAACUCAAUCUCAAAUUCAAUAAAUCCAAAAGCAAUCCUCAAAUUGUCGAAUGAAUUUUGCCGUAAAAAUAUAUCUAAAUUAAGAAAUAUAACCCAAUAAAAAUAUCUCACAUGUUAUACACCAUAUCCAAAAUACAAACACAAUCAAUCAAACUCAAAGGCAACAAAUCAAGAUAAAUCCAAUUAGACCUAAAUUUAAUAUCACAUAAUCCAAAUUUAAGUUAAUAUCCAAAUAAAAUCUACAAUCAAAAUUAAACUCAAUUUAAUAAAUAAAUAAAUAAACUAAUUAAACAAGCACAAAAUACCCAAAUCAUUGCUACAUAAAUCAAAUAAUAAUAAUAAUAACAAUGACAACAACAAUAAGAAAAAAAAAAUGGAGAAAAAGAAAAAUAAGAAGAAAGGAAAGGGAAGGGGGAUGUGUGGCCGUGGGAGUAGGGAUGGCAAUGGGAUGGAUUUUUUCGGGUACCCUUCCCGCCCCGCUCACCCUUAAUGGAACGGGUUUCAAUUUUAAAUAAAGGGGUUUGGGACGGGUUUGGGAAUUUUUUUAAAAGCUGGGGUGGGUUCGGGUAAUGCCUUGUCCCACCUCACCUCGUCCCGUCCCGACCCGACCCAAUUAUAUAUAAAAUUAAUUUAAUUUUUAUUUUACUAUAUUUUAAUAUAUAGAUAAUAAUAAAAUAUUUUUUAAUAAAAUAAGUUAUAAAAAAUAUAAUAAUUUAAUUAUUUAUAAAAUAUAUUUAUUUUAAUAUAAUUAAAAAAUUUUAAAGUAAUUUUAAAAAAAUUCAAAAAAAAAAAGUUAAAUGGGGUAGGGCGGGUAUGAGAAUUUCUUGUACCCGCUUUGCCUUAUUUAAUUUUUAAAAUGGGACAGAGAUGAGAAUUAUUUUGAAUAAAUGGGGCGAGUUUCGGAUGGGGGCGACCCAUCCCGAACCCGUCUCAUUGCCAUCUGAGAGAGGGAGUAGGGAAGAGAGAGUGAGGGAGUGGGUGGAGUAAGUGGAUAAAAAAGUAAAAAAAUAAAAUAAAAUAAACUAAAAAUUCAAGAUGCACAAUAAAAACAAAACAAAAUAAUAAAAAUUAAGAUUUAAAAUGUAUAAGUGACCAAAAAAUUCAAAUAUAAUUUAGUUUUAAAUCUUAUAAUAAAAUUGGACUUAAAAUUAAAAUAAAUUUGGGAUAAAUUUUAGGAUCUACAAAGUGAUGAAGAUUUUUUUUUUUUUUUUAAGAAAAAUAACUUUAAAAUCAAUAAAUUAAUUUUAUAUAUUACUUUAAAUUCAUUUGACUUAUUUUUCUUCUUUUUAUACAAAGACUAAAUAAUUUUAAAAUGUAUAAAUUUUUAACUAAUUUUAAUUAUAUUUGAUUUUUUUUCUUCAUUAAUAUUUUCAAUGAUGAAACCAAACAUGAAAAUUAUUUCCCUUAAUAUUUUUUAUUUUUUUUAAUACUUUUGAGAAUCAAACGCAACCUUAAAGUUUAAUAUAAAUAUAUUAAUUGAUAGUUAGUUAAAAAUAUAUUUUAUUUUUUAAGAAAUAAAAUUUAUUUUUUGAAAAUUAUUAAAUAUAUUUUACUCUUUAUCUUUCUACAUAAAAUGUCUUUAAAAAAUAAAUUUUAUAAAUGAAACAUAUCAAUAGAGGUGCUAGUUGAUUAAAUUUAAAACCAAUAAGUUAAAUAUAUUAGAGUGCUAAUGAAAUUAACUUUAAAAUAAAAUAAUAAGAUAAAAAUAAAAAUAAGACAAUAAAAAAAAAUAAUAAUAAUUGUGAAUCGACCCCAAGUGUUGAUAAUCACGGAUUUAUCGGUACUUCGAUUUUAUGGAUAUAUCAGAUUGAAGAUAUAUCAGUAAAUAUUUUGACAUAAAAUAUAGAUGACAUAAAAAUUAAUGAAUUUUUUGAAAAUAUUAGAAAAUUUUCUAAAAAAUUAUAUAAGAAGUAAAAUUGUAUACUUUAAAAUUAUUUUUCAAAAAAUAUAAAUUUUAUAAGUGUGCAUUUAUUAUUAAGUUACACAAUAUUAUUUUAUAAUAAUAAUAUGAUAACAUGUUUAAUUUUAAAAUAUAUUUAAUAUUCAAAUUAAGAUCCAUUUUAAUUUAAAUGUAUUCAAUGAUAUUGAAUAAAUAAUAAAAUAUGUACAAUUUUUUUUAUAUUUAAUAAAUAUAUAUUAUAUAAAAAAAGAAAAAAAAUUGUGUUUUUAUAUUUUUGUAAUAAAUUAAAUCAAAUGUGAAACUAAAAUAAUAUGAAUUAAUUUAUUUAAUAAAAUAAUAUCUAUUAUUCUUAUAUAUACAUUUUGAUACAUAUCAUUUAUCAAGAAGCAACAUGUUCCAGCGGUUGUUACACUCUAACCAUUUUGUAUUAGGUUCAAAUCGGGGGUUUGAUCAUGUUUGACCAUUGCGUUCACCGAAGCAAUCCUGGACCAAUCCAAAAAAUGGGUAAAAAAAUCCAUAAAUAUUGAUGUAAAGGCAAUAAAUGGCGAUAAAAAUGGAAAAAUUGCGGGAUCGAAAUAUCUGUCCGAAAUUUGUAUCGUCACCUCCCGAUACAUGAUAUAUCGAUAAUAUUUCACCGAUAUAUAUAUGAAUUUUUUUUUCUUGAUCGACCUAUGAUAUUCUCAUGGAAAAUUGGAGUUAUACCUUUAUGAUGGAUGAUAACGAGAUCAUAACAUCCUAAUCCCGACUCAUUUAUAUAAAGAAUUAAUUAGUUAAAAAAGAUUAAAUAGUCCUUCUCCUCCUAUGUUUUUGUUUGAAUGAUAACAUAUUUUUUAUAUAAAUACCCUUAACUAUUUCAAGUAUUUACAAUAUGUUUUAAAAGAAAUUAUUUUUACAAUAAAACAAUGAGAGCAUUUUUAUCAAAAUGAGGUAAAAAAAUGAAAGGUUAAAUUUACAAAAUUGGAUAUCUAAUUACCCUUUUAAUCAAAUAACCCUUAUAUAAAUCUAUUCUUAUAUUCAAGGAUGAAAAUUUCUCUUUUUUUGGCCGAAAUUUCGUGUUUCGGAGGUGGGCGAAAUGAAAAAGGAGGGCGAAAUGUUGACGGAAGAAAUUUUGGUCAAUUUCGGCAAUUUUCAGCGAAAUUUCGGUAAGGGGAGUAAUUUCGGCGAUUUUUUGAAAAAAUCGCCGCCGGCUGGAAUAUUUUGGAGAAAAAUCAGUUUGUUUCGGAUUAUUUCGCCGAUUUUUCAAAAAAAUCGGUGCCUUGCACCUACUGCUGAUCCGACGGCUCCCAACUUCCCCACGUUGAUCUGACGAUCCAAAUUUGGUACGAGCUCCAACGGUCAUUUUAUGUGCAUUUGAUGGUCCAAAUUGAAGCUGGAUGUGAUCCAACGGCUAGAAUUGAACCCCAACGGCUAUGUGAUGAUCCAAUGGUUAGAUUUCGAUCAAACGACCAAUUUUGUUUUUCAACGGUAAAAUGAGAUUCCAACAGCUUUUUGGGCCCAAUUUUUUUCUAUAAAUAGCUCAUUUUUCACCAAUUUCAUCCACAUUUCAUAUUUGAUCUCUCAUUGCUCCCAAGGUUACUCAUUUUGUUUUUAAGGUAUGUUUGUUUUAAAUUUUUAUUAUUUUGUAUUGAAGUGUAAUUAAUUAGUAUAUUAUUUAAAUCUUCAAUUUUAUUUAUUUUCUUUUCAAUUGUCAUGAAUUAGUACAUCAAUGUUUUUUUUUUCUUUUCAUUUGUAAUUAAUUAGUACAUUUGAAUUAAUUAGUACAUUUUUUAAAUCUUGAAUGAAUUAGUAGAUUUUCAUAUAAUUAAUUUAGUUUAGUUAAUUUAUUAACUUAAUUAACAAUAUUAGUAGCUUCCCAAUUUUUUUUCAAUUUUAUAUUUUAUAUUUUCAUUCGUAAUUAAUUAGUACAUUUUUUAAAUCUUGAAUGAAUUAGUAGAUUUUCAUAGAAUUAAUUUAGUUUAGUUAAUUUAUUAACUUAAUUAACAAUAUUAGUAGCUUCCUAAUUUUUUCAAUUUUUUUUAUAUUUUCAUUCGUAAUUAAUUAGUACAUUUUUUAAAUCUUGAAUGAAUUAGUAGAUUUUCAUAGAAUUAAUUGUAAUUAAUUAGUACAUUUGCAAUAAGUUUGAUUGACAUGAUUACUAUAUUUGCAAUAAGUUUAUUUUUAUUUACUUGUUCAAUUUAAAUUUUUAUUCAAUUGUAAUGAAAUAGUAUAUGUUCAAUAGAGUUGCAAUGGCUAGUGGAAGUGGAAGUGGAAGUGGAGGUGGAGGUAGAGAUAGAGGUGGAGAUGGAGGUGGUGGGUGUGGCACAUUCGGCCGAGAUUUAGCUUGGAAGUAUUGUUCACCAUUAGAGGGAAACCGAAAUGGGACAAUUUGUAAUUUUUGUGGGCUGGUGAUGAAGAGUGGAGGCACUAGUCGAUUCAAGUAUCAUUUAGCGCAUAGAGACCUGAAUAACAAUACCAAAAAGUUUCUUUUAGUGCCACUUGAAGUGAAAGAAGAGAUACGAGAGAUGUUACAUGAAAAAAGUAAAGCAAAAGCAAAGAAAAUUGCAGAUAUUGAAGAGAUCAGAGAUCAAUUACGUGGCACUAUGGGGCCUAAGCAUACAAAUGUCAUGGACGAGGAUGAUGAUGAUGAUGAUGAUGAUGAUGAUGAAGUGUACAUGUAUCCAACAAAUAUGGACUUGGAUGAGCGGGAUGCUUAUCGAGAAGCGGUUCGUGCAUUGAAGGCAACAUAAUGGGAGCGACAACAACAUGAAAAUAUUGUAAGAAGCAAGCGUAAAACAAGGGAGUUGUCACGACCUAGUGGUGCACCGAUAAUGCGGAAAUCUCAAAGUAUGCGACAUUCAGACCCAUCACCGCCUAUUGCACCCUCACUCUACAAGUCUUCUAAGGCAAAGCAAAAAAAUAUUAAAGAUAUGUUAAAGGGUGGUUCAAUUAAAGAAACAAUGGGACGCUUAAUAAGAAAAUUCUUCAUUUAUGAUAGUGUCACGCCCAAUAAAGCAAACUCUUACCACUUCAAGAAUAUGAUUAUUGGUGCAUAACAAGCAGGUAAUUUUUAAGUUCUCAAAUUUUAUAUUGUUUCAUACAUUUAGAAGGUGUAGUUUUUUGUGUCAUGUUUUAAAUAUUUCUUACAUAUGAUUUGUAGGAAUGGGAAUCGAACCUCCAUCUCCAUAUGAAAUAAAGAAUAAGUACUUGGAAAUGGAGUACAAAGAUAUGGAAGAUUAUGUGAACCAGCAAAGAGAAAAAUGGAAGAUAUAUGGUUGCACCAUAAUGUCAGAUGGAUGGACAGGGCCCACGAGAUUAAGCAUAAUUAAUUUCAUGGCUUAUUCAAAAGGGAGUACGGUGUUCCUCAAGUUAGUCGAUGCGUCCAACAAUAUCAAAGACCACAAAUACAUAUACAAGCAAUUGAAGAAUGUUAUAAAAAAAGUCAGGGUAGAUGAUGUGGUCCAAAUUGUCACAGAUAACGGGUCAGCGUUCGUGAAAGCAGGGAAGCUGUUGAUGAAAAAGUUUAACUUAUAUUGGACCCCAUGUGCGGCAUACUGCAUCGACUUAAUGCUUGAAGACAUUAGGAAAAGACCUAGUACUGCAGAGGUAAUACGCAAUGCCCGCAAGAUAACUAACUUCAUUUACAAUCAUUGUUGGUUACUUGCAGAAAUGAGAAAGUAUUGUGGUGGAGACAUUGUUCGACCAGGAGCUACAAGGUUUGCUACAAACUAUAUUGCUCUUGAAAGUCUUUUUUAAAAAAGGGCUGAUUUGAAGAAAUUGUUUAUGAGUGAUGAAUGGGCACUACAUAAGCUUAGUCGGACAAACAUUGGACGAGAUAUAGAGAAACUAAUGUUUGAUCAUCCGUAUUGGGAUAGAAUGAAACAUGUUGUUUCAUACUUUGAGCCAUUAUACAUGGUGCUUCGAAUCAUUGAUUCAGAAGUUGUUCCAACAAUGCCUUUUGUAUACGAGCUUAUGCAAGUGAUGAAAGAAAAUCUCAAUCGUCAACUAGUUGGCGAUUGGAUCUUCAAAAUACUCAAAGAUCGUUGGGAGAAAACACUAAAACAUCCACUUCAUGUAGCAGGUGCUUAAUUUUCAUCCAUUGUUACUUUGAUUUUAUUUCAUUUUCUCCUACACAAUACUAAAUCUACAUAAUUUUAUUGUAGCAUACUUCUUGAAUCCAAGGUUUCAAUAUAGGCGUGGAGUUGGUAGUGAUCCAUAUUUAAUUCAUUCAGUCCAUGAAGUAUUUGUUAAAUUAGACCCAAAUGCUGAAUCGGUUGGUCAAUUUGGAAAUGAGGUAAAUAAGAAACUCUUAUUUUACUAAAAUCUCUUAUUUCAUUCAUCAUUUUAUUUGAACAUUUACUAAAAAAUAUGAUAUUAACAAUUUAAAUUAUGAAUACAUAGCUUGUGCUUUUUCGAGAUGCAAAGAGAGGAUUCGGUGAUCGAGCGGCGGUUGUAUCAAGAUCAACCAUGGUGCCUGGUAAGUAUUAUUUCUUAAUAGAGAAAAAAAAAUUGAUUAUCAUUAUUGUAAAUUCAUCACAUAAGUAUUUAUAUAAUUAUGAAUUCCCUUGCAGCUGAAUGAUGGUUCAUGUACGGGAACCAAACACCUACAUUGAGAAAUUUGGCCAUUAAAGUUCUCUCACAAACUACGUCAUCUUCUGCUUGUGAGAGAAAUUGGAGCACAUUUGCUUUAAUCCACACAAAGUAAUGCAAUCAUUUGGCUUACUCCAGACUACAACAAUUAGUUUUCUGUUACUACAAUAUGAAGUUAAAGUUACGCGAUAUGGAGGCAAAAAAUGAUCGAGUUGCUGAGAAAGAUUACCUUGAUCUUCUUGACAUUUCAGCCGAGGUGGGUGAAGAAGAAAAGAAUCAGUUAUUCCAAUGGGUCAGGCCUAUACACUUAGAUGAUAAAGUUGGUAAUGCUGAUCCACGAAUUGCUGCUCAUGCUCAAGAAUUUGGAGUUGAUGUUGAACGUGUGUUGUCCGAAGAAAUUCACAGUGAAAGUUUUAGCAAAGAUACUGAGGAUUCAUUUCAAGGGACAUUGAAUUCCCACCAAGAGGUUGACUCCACAAGUAUUGGCCAAAGUAGUAGACCUAAUGUUGUUGGUACUUCUGCUUCUAGUUACGAUGGUUCAAGAGGUGAAACUGAUGAUGGAAGUGAUCACGCAGGAGGAGAUAUUGGGGAACGCCAACAAAGUCAAUAUCCAAUGAGUCAAUUCACCUGUGAAAAUGAUUUCACGCAUUGCACACAAGAUGAAGACCAUGGCUCUAGAAGAGCUGGUCCAGGUAUAGGAGCUAUUGGAAACUAAACAGAAGAAGAUAACGGACGAUGACUCCAUAUAACGAGGAGUUACUUUCAUGGAGUUUUGAAUCUAUGAGUAUAGGAACUCAAUUUAGUGACUCCUCAAAUGAGGCUAACGUUUACCUUCCUUAUGUAAUGGGUUAUGGUCAACCUUCAAGUUCAACUAAUGAAGAGUAUGGUAUGCCGAGCUACCCCUCAGCUACACAAACGUCUUACCAAGUUCCAUAUCAAAUGCAAGGAGGAUUUGACAUGAACACAUGGGUCAAUCUCGAGUAUCCUAUCUAUGUAGAGGCAGUGGGCAGGACUCAAGAGAUAUAUGCAUGGCAUGUUAGAAUUUUUAACCAAUAUUAUCAAGGCUCAAUGAGUUGGUACCAAUAUUGUCUCCAACAGUAAGACGGGGUUCCUUCAUCUACCAAUUCCAUUGAACCACAUCGAUCCUCAUUUUGGUACUAAAGGGUCAUUGCAAUGUAAUAUGUACAAAUUAUUGAUAUUUAAUGAAAUCAAGUCUUUCAUGAAGCUUCAUAAUGAGUGUACAAUUACAAAAUUCACAUUUCUUAUAUACCGACAUGAAAUAAUUACAUUUAAUAUUGCAAAUUAUAUCAUACAUAUAUCAAAUUCUUCAAAAAAACAACUUUAAAUUGUCUAUUUUAUUUCUAAUUACAUUUCUAUGAGGUUUUUCUUACAUUUCCAUGAGUUUUGAUCAAAUUUUGGCAUACCGAAAUUUUUCUCCAAAAUAUCCGCCGAUAUUUCUCAGAUAUAUCCGUAAAAUCAAGUUACCGAUAUAUCCGUGAUUACCGAUAUUUUCAUCCUUGCCUAUAUUCACUGUAAUAAAAAAAUUAAAUGGAAUGGAAAGAGUUCAAAAUAUGUUUGCAAAUUUGUUGUAUUUGUUAGAAAAUAUGAGAAUUUAUCGGAUUAUGGGAACUUGUGGAUGAUCAUCCAUAUUGAUGUAUAUCUCUUUGUGACUCCCUAUAAAAGGGAGAUACCUCUAAUGAAAAUCUAUUAUAUUCUCUUCCUACAUUCUCUUCUACUUUUCUUUGAUUAUCUUUAUUUAUUCUCUCAUAUUUUCUUUUCUUUAUUCUUUUAUUUUACAACACGUUAUCAGCACGACUAGUCUCUAUAAAAGAAAUAGAAAGAUUUUUCUCUAUUAAGAUAAAUAGAAAGAUGUUCUCCUUUUCAGAGAAAUAGAAAGACUCUUCUCCCUUCUUUCUCACAAAAAGGUAUGUGAUAAACUUAUAUAAUAAUUUUCUAUUUUAUUACCCUUUAAUCUCUAUUUUCAUUUGUUUUAUUUGAAUAUAUAAAUAUGUAUAAUCCCUAUAACUAGAAGUUAUGGGGUAAAUUAUAAAUUAUGGGGUAAAUUCAUAACCAGAAGUUAUGAAAAAUAUGUCCAAUUCCUAUAACCAGAAGUUAUGGGGAAAAAUUACAGAAUUACAAAAUAAAUGACCAGAGCUUAUGUAUAUGAUCCAUAAUUAUUUAUUUUUAAUUAUACAGUAUAACUAGAUGUUAUACCAAACAAUAUUAUAUAGCCAGAAGAUAUAAAAUAAAUGAAUAAAUAAAUGUUCAUAGUCUAAAGCUAUGUACAAAUUUACAUAAUGAAAGUUCAUAGCCCGAAGUUAUGCACAAAUUUACAUAAAAUAAUUCAUAGCUUGAAGCUAUAUAUUACUUUGCAUAUUUUUGUUAUGAUAAAAUAAUCAUAGCCCGAAGUUAUGAAAAACAAAAUAUAUAUAUAUAUAUAUAUAUAUAUGUGUGUGUGUGUGUGUGUGUGUGUGUGUGUGUGUGUGUGUGUGUGUGUGUGUGUGUGUAUGUAUAUAUAUUAAAUUUUAAUUCUUAUUUCAUAUUUAUACAUUUUUACCAUAUUUAUAAUUGAUAAAUUUUAGGUCAUUAUAUUUUUAUAUAUUGUUUACUUGAAAUAUUGUUAAAGCAUUUUAUUAAUAGUUUAUUAUAAUAAUUGAAAUAUUUCUCUGAUUAAUAUUAUAUAUAGCUUUCAGAUAAUGUCAAACAUUGCAAAGCUUGAAUUUGUUGUCCUCGAUAUUUCAGGCAAGAACUACUUAUCUUGGGUUCUGGAUGCUGAAAUUCAUUUAGAUGCGAUGAAUCUUGGAAAUACCAUUAAAGAAGGAAAUGACGCAUCCCUGCAGGAUCGCGCCAGAGCUUUGGUAUUCCUUCAUCAUCACAUUGAUGAAUGAUUAAAAGGUGAAUACCUUACUGUUAAAAAUCCUUUCAUCAUUUGGAAUAAUAUAAGGGAACGUUAUGACCACCAAAAGAUUGUAAUCCUUCCAAAGGCACGCUAUGAUUGGAUGCACUUGAGAUUACAAGAUUUCAAGUUUGUUAGUGACUACAACUCGACCCUAUUCAAAAUUAGCUCACAAUUAAAAUUGUGUGGAGAAAAGGUCACUGAAGAAGAUAUGCUUGAAAAAACAUUCACGACUUUCAUGCCUCGAAUGUUCUCCUGCAGCAGCAAUAUUGAGAACGUCGUUUCACUAAAUAUUCAGAAUUGAUCUCAUGUCUUCUUGUGGCUGAACAAAAUAAUGAGCUAUUAUUGAAAAAUCAUCAAUCUCGUCCUACUGGGUCUAUGUCAUUGCCUAAAGCCAAUGCCACAUCUGUUCAAACCCUUGGACAUGGACAAGGACGUGGAUAUGGACGGGGUCGAGGACGUGGUCGCGGUCGUGGUCGAGGUCGAGGUCGUGGUAAACACAAUUCUUCUCAUCGUAGUGGUUCUCAAAGUAAAAAGAACAACUCAAACCACUAGAAGUGGAAUAAUUCAGAGGGACAACCUGAAAAGGGGAUAGAACCACAAAGUAAAUAUGCUUAUGAGAAUAAGUGUCAUAGAUGUGGCAUGAAAGGACAUUGGUCACGUACUUUUCGUACUCUAAAACAUUUUGUUGACCUUUAUCAAGCCUCAAUAAAAGCAAAAGGAAAGGGAGUUGAAAUGAAUUUCAUUGAUGGUGAUGACCCAGUAGAUCUAACCCAUUUAGAUGUUUCAGAUUUCUUUGAGAAUCCUAAUAGGAAAAUUGACCAUCUAAUUGGUGAUGGAAAUGUUUGUUAUGAUUAAAUGUUAUGUUCUUAUUUAGUUAUUUGCAAAUAAGUUUAUUUUGUUAUCAUCUUUAAACACAUUGUUUAUUAUUCAUCUUUUAUAGUUUAUUUCACAUUUUAUCAUUUCUUAUUUAAAUUCUUCUCUUUAUUUAUACUUGAAGAUACAUGGAUCUUUCUCAUACCUUGGUACAUCAUACGACGUCCAAUGUAGAUGCAUGUCUUCCAAAUUGUGCCACAACACACAUAAUCCUUCGUGAUAAAAAAUAUUUUUCCAACGUAUCGUUGGUUAAGUCUAAUGUUAAUACAAUAUCAGGUCCUGUAGACUUGAUUCAAGACUCCGGAAGAGCAACUAUUAUUUUACCUAGAGGAACUAAAAUCCACAUUAAUGAUGCCCUUUAUUAUGCUAAAUCCAAGUGAAAUCUUCUUAGUUUCAAAGAUAUUUGCCGAAAUGGAUAUCACAUUGAAACUAUGAAUGAUGAUAGUAAUGAAUACCUUCUCAUUACUUCAAUUAUUUUUAGGGAAAAACACAUCUUGGAAAAGCUUCCUUCUUAUUCUUGUGGGUUAUAUCAAACAAUCAUUAAACCCAUUAAGUCAUAUGUUAUUAUGAACUAGAAGUUAUGUGACUUAAAAACUUUUAUGAUAUGGCAUGAAUGUCUUGGUCAUCCAGGAUUAUCCAUGAUGCGUCGUAUCAUCAACAAUUUUUUAGGGCAUCCCUUGAAGAUCCAGAAGAUUCUGAUGCCAAAUGAUUACAAUUGUGUUGCUUGCUCACAAGGCAAAUUAAUUAUUAAACCAUCAUUUACCAAGGUUGAAUAUGAAUCACCAACCUUUCUAGAACGUAUUCAAGGUGAUAUUUGUGGACCUAUUCAUCCACCUAGUAGACCUUUUCGUUAUUUUAUGGUUUUAAUUGAUGCAUCAACCCGUUGGUCUCAUGUUUGUCUUCUUUCAACUAGAAAUAUUGUCUUCGCCAGGUUACUUGCUCAAAUAAUUCGACUCAAGGCAUAAUUCCCUGAUCAUCCUAUUAAGACAAUUGGUCUUGAUAAUACUGGUGAAUUUUUCUCUCAAACAUUUCUUGAUUAUUGUAUGUCAAUUGGUAUUGAUGUUGAAUAUCCUAUUGCUCAUACCCAUACUCAGAAUGAAUUAGCUGAAUCUCUAAUUAAGCGUUUGCAACUGAUUGCAAGACUAUUACUCUUGAGAACAAAAUUGCUCGUCUGAUUAGGGGCAUGCUAUUCUUCAUGUUGCCACUUUAAUUCGAAUUUGUCCUACAACUAAUCAUGAUUGCUCACCUUUACAACUUGUUUUAGGCUCCCAACCAAAUGUUUCACAUUUUCGUAUUUUUGGUUGUAUUGUCUAUGUUCCCAUAACUCCACCUCAACAUUUCAAGUUAGGACCUCAAUGUCGACUUGGUAUAUAUGUUGGUUUUAAUUCUCCUUCCAUUAUCCGUUAUCUUGAACCAUUCACAGGUGAUGUUUUUAUUGCCCGCUUUGCAGAUUGUCAUUUUGAUGAAAAUGUUUUCCCGUCAUUAGGGGAAGACAAGUGAAAAGAAUGGUGAGACAUUACAUGGUAUGUACCCUUCUUGUCUCAUCUUGAUCCUUGCACAAGACAAUGUGAGUUAGAAGUUCAAAGGAUUGUUCAUUUGUAAGGACUUGCAAAUCAAUUACUGACCAAAAUUUCUCUAUUGUACCAAAAUACUUAGCCUUUUUACGUAGUAACUCUGGUCAAGAAAAACUAGAGAAAGAGUCACUACGGCUUUUGUAGUAUUCCGGGUAUCGUUCUCAAGGACUGGCUUAUGAAAAUUGUCAAUACUAGAAUAAAUGAAUUGUUUUUGUUUAAAUCCUUAAGUGAAAAACAAUAUGUGAAUAAUGUGAAACUAAGUAAAAGAAGUUAAAUUAAUAAGAAAAAAAUGAAUAUUGAUUUUAAAUUCAAUUGAUUCAAGUUUGGGGUUUUCCACAAUCCAACCUAGGGUAUAGAAAUUAGAGAAAACAAGGGUAUUUUAAGUAAUAUGAUCUUAACGUUUUGGGAUCCUUGGCCACUCGCGAUCAAGUUGAGUUCUAUAACUCAAAAUUGCAUCCGAAACCUAAUUUUUCCUUUUUAAAACAGAUUCCUAAAACCAUCAAAUGAAUGAGAUUGAUUAUCAAUUUAAGAUUUGGCUUUUUAACCAUUCCUACUCUUUAUAGCUUUGUUUAGGGGCAAAUAACGGUAGGUAAGAUGAGGAUAACUAAUGAUCAAGAAUUACCAAGAAUCACUAGUAUCAAGUAAUAACCUACCGUAUCAUUCCCUAAACGAACUCACAAGGAUAGGAUAAAAAAAAUGAUAAAUUGUCACUCAACCAAUAAUUAAUCUCAUUGUUAUAGUAAUUUACCCAUUGUCCCUAUAGGUUUCCUAGCCCUUAGGUUUUCAUGCUUCAAGCCCCAAGUUGGCUCUUAGCCUCUCAUGGGGGUGAUGUCACAUUCACAAUCCAUAAUAGGGUAAAAAUCCAUAAUUUGAAUCAAAAGAAACUAAAAACAAUAUAUUCAAUAGAGAAGAAAAAGAAAACAAACCAAAGUUCUCGUCUCCUUCCAUCUUCAAUGUCAAACUCUCCAAAAAAAAAAUCCAAGAUUCUUAAAACCUAGAAUUGAGAGAGUUUACAUAAUAUCCUCAAUUACCUAACAUGUGGCACACUCUCAUUGGCCACUUAUUACAAAAUAAUUUCCUAAAAAUGAUUAAAAAAUAAUAAAAUGGUGAUUUCUAGUCGUGUGGGGUCCACCUAGUGUGGAUGGAAUGCUUUAGAUGCAAUUCCCGAGGUAGAGGAGGCGGAACAUCAAAGUGGCAGUGGGUGAAUUCGAAAUUGGUGUCAUUUCGAAGUGGAUUUCGAAUUCAUAAGUUGAAUAGAUGCAAUUCCCGGGGUAGAGGAGGCGGAACAUCAAAGUGGCAGUGGGUGAAUUCGAAAUUGGUGUCAUUUCGAAGUGGAUUUCGAAUUCAUAAGUUGAAUAGAUGCAAUUCCCGGGGUAGAGGAGGCGGAACAUCAAAGUGGCAGUGGGUGAAUUCGAAAUUGGUGUCAUUUCGAAGUGGAUUUCGAAUUCAUAAGUUGAAUUUCGAAAUCAUAAGUUGAAUUUCGAAAUCAUAAGUUGAAUUUCGAAAUCAUUUCGAAAUGACCCUCCAGUUUGGUGCAGUUGUCUUCAAAUGGCCAUAACUUCUUCAUUUCAGCUCCGAUUUGCAAACCGUUUGAAGCGUUGGACUUCUGACUUCCCGAGCUUCGAAACGAUAUAUAGUAUGUAUAUAAUGGACUCCAGAAAGUGCUCCAAAUUUGUCCUCAAAAUCAGAGUAUAUAAUGUCAUCAGAUUUUUGAGUUCUAAAUUUUCAUGCAGCUAAAUCUUGCUUCAUGCCUCAUUUCCCACGCUUUCUUGCCUUCUUUCUUGCUCCACAAUGGUCAUUUAUUAUCUUCCAACCUCAUGAUAUCCUUGUUUUGCCUUUCCUUACGUUCAAUGAGUCUUGACUCACUUAUUUCCUCAUUUAGCCCUUUCUUGAUCUUUUAAAAUCUAAAGUCAUUCAAUUUGCACAAUUUUCUUCCCUUGAACCUGAGAUAAGUCUCCAAAGUACAGAUUAAACUCAUGGUUAGGGCCUUAGCAUUGAUUUAGGUCAAGUUGGGUGAUUUGAAUGUCCUUUGGUGUACAAAUCAUAUUGAAUAUGUGCCAUUAGAGCACAUAUUUUGGCUCCAAUCAAUUACUCGAUGCUUUCACAGAUAUAAAGAAAGUAACAAAGUCAAACGUGCCAGCUCUAAACACCCCAACACAUAUUGAUGUCCCUGAAGGACAAUUAGAGAAUGCGAUAGCAAAUGAAUCUAAGACACGCCUGAAGCGUGGUAGACCUAUUAGCUCAAAGGAUUUAAUUCCUAAAAAAAAAAGGAACAACAUAUGAAAAACUUAGUACUGCUGAAGAGUUCACAAAUAUGAAAUGGUCAAAUGAUGAAACCCAACUUGACAAACAGUUAGCUCUUGAGGAGGCACAAAUUGAUCAAAUACCGGUAUCUAGAACUAAAGAGAUCCCAAUGAGUCACACGAAAUAAACAAAUGACUGCAGCAACAUUAUCAUAGAUAAUAUAUUCGCAUUCCAAGUGGCUGUGGACAUCAUGAGAAAUGAUGAAUAUAAAGAACCAAAGACUGUGAAUAAAUGUCGAAAAAUGAAUGAUUGGCCAAAAUGGAAAUAAGCAAUCCAAACAGAUCUAAACUCAUUAACAAAACAAGAGGUAUUUGGACUUGUAGUUCAAACACCUGGAAACAUAAAGCCUGUUGGAUAUAAAUGGAUCUUUGUGAAAAAAACGAAAUGAGAAUGAUGAAAUCAUAAGAUAUAAAGCAUGACUUGUUGAUUAAGGUUUCUCUCAAAGACCUAGUAUAGACUACGAGGAAACUUCUUCCCCUGUAAUGGAUGCAAUCACACUUCAAUACUUGAUAAGUUUAACAGUCUCUGAAGGACUAGAUAUGCGUCUUAUGGAUGUUGUUACAACUUAUUUAUAUGGGUCUAUAGAUAUUGACAUAUAUAUGAAAAUCCCUUAAGGAUUCAAAUUGCCUGAAGCAACUAAUCCAAAACCUCGAAACAUGUACUCAAUCAAACUACAAAGAUCUUUGUAUGGAUUAAAACAAUCCGGACGUAUGUGAUAUAAUCGUUUGAGUGAGUAUUUAUUAAAAGAAAGAUAUGUGAAUAAUUCAAUUUGCCCAUGUGUUUUUAUCAAGAAAUCAAAAUUUGGGCUUACAAUAAUUGCAGUGUAUGUGGAUGAUUUAAACCUUGUAGGAACUCUUGAAGAGCUCACAAAAGCAGCCAAUUAUUUAAAGAAGGAAUUUGAAAUGAAAGACUUGGGGAAAACAAGAUAUUGUCUCAAUUUGCAAAUCGAGCAUUGUUCAAAUGACAUAUUAGUCCAUCAAUCGACAUAUAUAGAGAAAGUAUUAAAAUGAUUUUAUAUGGACAAAUCACAUCCAGUCAAUUCCCCUAUGGUUGUUCUUCACUUGAAGUGAACAAAGACCUAUUUCAUCCUAAAGAAGAAAAUGAAGAAUUGUUUGGUCCAAAAGCACUAUAUCUCAGUGAAAUUUGUGCACUAAUGUAUCUUGCAAAUUGUACUAGACCAGACAUAGCAUUCUCUGUGAACUUACUAGCAAGAUACAGUUCUACCCCAACUAAAAGGCAUUGGAAUGGGAUUAAACAUAUAUUGCGAUACUUUCAUGGAACAAGUGACAUGGGUUUAUAUUAUUUAAAAGAAUCAAAAUCACAAUUGAUUGGGUAUGCAAAUGCAGGAUUGUAGACCCUCAAUUUUGUCUCUUUAGCACAUGUCUUUAAGUUCAUUUUCAGCGCUCCACAGUAGUUCCUUGGUGGCCCAUUACUACUCGUACAACUUACCUUUUUCUGAGUCACCUCAGAGACUUUGGUUGAGGGAUUAUCUGACCCCUUAUUAUGACUCUUGGCAGCCCUAAUUUAGACUUAGGCUUUUUCAUUCAUUUUUUAGGAUAGUUUUUAGGUACACUUGGCCAAUUAGGCACCGCUCUAGGCCCAUUUAAACACACUUGGCCCAGUAGGCACUUUUAGACUCACUUUUGUAUGACUUGCAUGGCCCGCAUAGAACUGACUAUUUUAUUCAAUUAUUUUGUCUUACUUUAUUUAUUUUUUAUUUUAUUUUAAUUGACUAUUUGAUAAGAGAAUAUGGGUUGCUAUUCAACUCUCACUAAGGUAUGUGCACUAAAAAAGGUAAGAGAAAUAUUUUGUGAGAAAAAAGGAAUUAAUGUGGCUGCAUGCAUAUGGAAAGAGAAGAUCUUGCAUGAGAGGAGAGGAGCAUUCUGAUUUUUGGAAAAGGAAGGGAAAUAGAAGAAAGGAAAGUAGGAUUCUCUGGAGCAGAUUGAGUUUGAGAGGCUGAUACGAAUAUAAGACAAAAAAAGGAGAAAAAGAGAGGAGUAGAGAAAAGAGGGGAGGCGCAUGAGAGCAUCGUCUGGAAGAGAGGCAGGGAAGAGAGGCAGAGAAAAGAGGGACUUGGAACACGUAUAGAGAGGGAGAAGAUUGGUGGACGAAAAAGGUUUGGGGAAGUAGAUUUCUCAGUCGGGAAAAGGUACAGCAGCCUGGAACCAAGCGAUUGGAGAGAAGAACGAGCAGGUAUGUUUCCAGAUUUUUGCUAUAUCACCAUUUAGUUUCAAUCUUUCCUGACUUCUUAGUUUUCUGAAGAUUCAUUCUUGUCGUUUAGUGUGGACGCAAGGGCCACAAUUCGAUUAGUUGAGACUGGUCUGCUUGCAUGUUUAUGCUAUUUUAAUAUUCCUUUUAAUGUCUUUGGUUCCAUCUGAAAGCAAUCUGAAUAUAGGUCUACCUUUGAAUUUGAUGCUAUGGGUCUUGCCCCCAUUUAUGUCCCAAUCUAGCUUCAAAAUACCCAUCGCCUGUCUUCUUUUCCCUUGUUUUCUUUUCUUUUCUUUCUUGUUCUUUUUGUGUGUUUCUGUAUCUACGUUUCUUCCCUUUCUUUACCUUGGUAUUCCCGGAUAUGGAGACCAUGGGCAUUCCGAGGAAGGUGGGAACUUGAUAAAAGCUGUGUAAAAUGGGUUUUCUUGGAGUUAAACAGAUGUAGAGGUUACCAUAGUUCUUGAGGGUUCUUAGUUUAUGGCAUCGCUCAUUCCACCCGGACGGAAAUUCUCACUAAUUCCACCCGGAUGUCUCACAUCCGGAAUUCUGCCUGGCUAACGUUCUACCUUAUCCGGAUGUCUCACAACCGCUAUUUCUAUCCGACCGAUAUCCCGCUUUCUCCGGAUGUCUCACAACUACCAUUCUAUCCGUCUGACAUCCCGCUUUCUCCGAAUGUCUCUCACAGCCGCCAUUCUAUCCGACCGACAUCCCGCUUUCUCCGGAUGGCUCAGAGCCGCCAUUUCUAUUCGGCUGAUAUCCCGUUUUCUCCGGAUGUCUCACAGCCGCCAUUCUAUCCGGCCAACAUCCCACUUUCUCCGGAUGUCUCACAGCCGCCAUUCUAUCCUGCCAACAUCCCGCUUUCUCCGGAUGUCCCACAGCCACCAUUCUAUCCGGCCAACAUCCCACUUUCUCCGGACGUCUCACAGCCGCAAUUUUAUCCGGCCGACGUUCUACCUUCUCCUCUAUUUGCUUCUUUGAUUGGGAACUUAUUGUUUUAAAUUGAAUUUUUGAACCAUUGUUCGACUAAACAUUCCUGGCUUUGAAAAAUUCAUCUUAGAUCCUUUCUAGGUAUGAAAUCCAUAUUCUAACAUACUCUUGCUGCCAUUUUCCUUCCGGUAUGCAUUUUCACUAUUUUAUUUGAUUUUCAACCGAUUUUAUUGAUUUUUCUCAAUUUUCUCAAGCAUGAACAAACUUCAUGAUUCCAAAUAAUGGAAUUUAUGGAAUCAACUCAUGCGAAAUCAAUUAGGGCUUUGGUGGGGGCCCGACAUUCAUGAUACCUUCUUCAAUAUUGUUUGCUUAAUAUGUUGAUUUUUUAUUCUUCUUGAUUAUAUACAUGAAUUUGUUUCUUAUUCACUGUUGAGAUGCUCUUGAUUCCCAUAGAGGAGUACUAGCUUGCUAUCCAGGUAUGCUCUCUUUUCAUCUAUUUUUUAGAACUCUAUGGACUUGUAUGUCAUUGAUGACCAUAUCCAUAUUUGAUGUGAUUCUUGGACGUCUUGGUAUAUGCCUGAUUCGCUUGAAUAAAACAAAUGUUGUAUGCUACAUUUCUACACUAACUUUUAUGUUUUAUGAUAGCGCUUGAAGAGCAGUUCAAGUACACACCCUAACUCUCCUUUAUUGCAAUUUGAUUAUGUUUGGCAUGCCACUCUUUAAAAGCACCUAGCCUAUUUAGGUAUCCAUAAUUAACCGAUUAAUUGUCAUAUUCCCCUUAACUUAGUUAAUAGAGACCUUCAUAGGGCUUAGAGGGGUGCUACCUUUUAAAGGUACCUUCCCAAUAGGUAACCUGAUCCCCGGACUUAGACUCGGGUUUUUCAAAGACACGUUUUUCCAAAAAUUAUGGAAUCAUUGUUUUAGGGUUUUAUUUUUUGUUUUAUUUUCCCUUUAAAAUAAAAAUAAAAUAAGUGGCGACUCCAACUUUUUAAAAAAAAAAAAUCAAAUUUUCACAAAUAAAAAGCGAGUCUCGCCGAUCGAGUGGGGACGCACAUAAAAAAUGCGGGUCCACAGGAUAUCUUUCAGAUCUUCAUAAAGCUCGAUCUCAAAUGGGAUAUGUCUUUACUUAUGGUGGAACGACAAUAUCUUGGAGAUCAGUCAAGCAAACAAUGGUAGCCACAUCUUUAAAUCAUUCAAAAAUUCUUGCAAUUCAUGAAGCAAGUCGUGAAUGUGUAUGGCUAAGGUCAGUGAUCUAACAUAUACAAGAAACAUGUGGACUACCUUCCAUUGGACGUAAUGCAACCGUGUUACAUGAAGAUAAUGUUGCUUGUAUUGCACAAAUUAAAGGAGGAUUCAUAAAAGGUGACAAAACUAAGCAUAUCUCCCCUAAAUUCUUCUAUAAUCAUGAGCUCCAAAAGGAAUGUGAGAUUGAUGUUCAACAAAUUCGGUCAUGCAAUAAUCUAGCAUAUCUAUUCACAAAGACGUUACCUUCGACCACAUUGAAAAAGUUAAGGUAUGACAUUGGAAUGCGAAGAUUGAGAGAUUUACCAUUUGAAAUGUUGAAGAAAUCAUAAUCAUGUUUACAUGAGGGGGAGAAUGCUAAUAUGGAUAUAUUGCACUCUUUUUUCCUUCGUCCAAGUUUUGUCCCACUGGGUUUUACUAACAAGGUUUUUAAUGAGACAGUUACCAUAUUCUUAUAAUCAUCCAAGGAGGAGUGUUAGAAAAUAUGAGAAUUUAUCGGAUUAUGGGAACUUGUGGAUGAUCAUCCAUAUUGAUGUAUAUCUUUUUGUGACUCCCUAUGAAAGAAAGAUACCUCUAAUAAAAAUCUAUUUUAUUCUCUUCCUACAUUCUAUUCUACUUUUCUUUGAAUAACUUUAUUUAUUUUCUCAUAUUUUCUUCUCUUUAUUCUUUUAUUUUACAACAGUAUUGAAUUUUUUUUUUAUAUUUUUAUUUAAAAAGGUUUAAUUACAUCAUGGUUUGGUUCUAAUACCUAUCAACCACGAGGUCCACAACACCAGGAAAAGAAGAGCCAACCACCCUUGUAUUUUACUAUUUUCUCCUCUAAGUUUCUGAAAAGCCCAUGUCAAAAGCAAUUCAAAAAAUAAUAAACAAGAACCAUGUGAGAGAGGAUAUGAUUCAAAAAUAGAAAGUAGCUCCCAAUCCAUUUAUUUUUAUGGAUGACAUAGGGUAUGAUUGAGAAUUAUUUUCGAGAAUAAAUUUUCUCUUUUUCAACAAAAAAACAUGUUUGCUAAUAAAUUUUUUUUUUGUUGUUUUUUGGUUUUUAAAUAGAGUGUUAUCAGAGAAUAUCUGUCACACCCUAAAACUCACUCUAAGGGCAGGACGAUCAUUUCAUACCUCAAGCGCUCAAAGUGGAAACAACACAAACAUUCAUCUUGUAAUUAGAAAUUAUUAAUUACCAAAUUCUUGUUCAAAGUAAUAAAAUAAAUAAAUUCUAUAAUCCAUAAUUCUCAACUUUAAAAAUUAAUACAUUAAUCAAAGUUUUAUUGUCAAAAUAACUUCGAACUCAAAUAAUUUAAAUGAAAAUUAAAUUUUAACAUUUAAACAAUGUCCAAAAUAAAGUUGCACCAAAAUCCUAACAAAGAAAAAAAAAUUCUCUGGCCUAGCCAUCACUCUUCACCCGAAUUGAGAGUACCUGAAAAAUUAUCAACGAAUGGACAUAAGCUUAAAAUUUAAUAAGAAACAUCAAUGCAGUUUUAUGAAUCAAAUAUUUUCAAUUGCAAUUACAAAUCGAAGAUAUAACAUAUAAUUAUUUUCAUAAAAACUUUUAAGUUCAAAAUGUUAAUAUAAUAAAACUUUGUCAUAUCCAUUCCAAAACAAUUCCUCAUCAAAACCAAACCAAAUGCAUUCAAAAUAUCUUUACUUUGGGUAUCAAAUAACAAAUGACACCCAAUUGAGUGAGACUUUACAAAUGAAUAACUAGUUUCAAAUUUGUUCCAUUUAAAGUAAACAAAAGCAAAAGUCAAUAAUUAUAACCCGCCUACUAUAUAUAAUAUCAACUAUUAUAACAUGUUGAUUAGGAUCAUAGAAACCAAAGUCAAACACUUCAUUUCAUUAAUUUAAACUAAUAAGGCAAAAUAUCAUAUCUCCACAAUUUAUUUUUUUUCAUAAAAAAAAAUAAUAAUCGAACAUAUUUUUCAUGCAAAACAUAUACUUGAUCCAUGCAUAGAAAUAAAAAUAAUAUUUUUACAUAUUUCAAAAUACAAUAUGAAAAGAAAAUUAUUUCUUCUUACAAAAUCUCCAUUAAUUUCCCUUAAGCACUCAAAAACCUUGGAGAAUUUAGCCUGAAGAGUUUACUCCUCACCUAAAAUAAUAUCAUAUACAAACAUUUAUUAUCAAUUAUUUAACUAAAGAUAUAAAUUUGAUAAUCCUAAAAAUAUUUUAUUUAAUUUUAGUAAUUCUAAUUAAUUUUCUAUAUCAACAUUAUUAUCAAUAAUAUUAUUUUCAACUUCCUAAAUACUAAUAAAUUAAUUUAAUGAGUUUUCAAAUUUUUAUAAAAUUGAUAUUCCUUCAUAAUCUUACAGUAACUAUUUAUUUCUUGAUGUAAUUAAAUUAAAUUAAAACUUGAACCAAAAUUUUCCUUUUUUUUUUUUUGGUUUUUCCAACAACUCUACAGUCUACACCAACUCCACCAUUUAUGAAAAAUGUUUCCCAACAUUUCACCUCUUCUCAGUCCGUCCACACACUUUUUUUUUAUGCAACUCUUAUUUUAUUUAUUAUUUAUAUGUUUGUUUUUUCUUUCUUCACAUCCUAUGAUUCAUAUAUUUUCUUUAUGAAACAUUCCAGUGUGAUUUAUUUUUCUUUUUUCCUAUUUUUUUAUUCAUUUGAAUAUUCAGAAUUCCCUUAUUUUCAUCUAUAUUUAUAAAUUUUCAUUAUGAUAAUCUAAAAAUCAAAUAAACUAACCUUAAUUGAGAUUUAAAUCUUUCAAAGAAUUUUUUACGAUUCAAAACUAAUUAACGAAUUUAAAAUAAUAAUCUAAAAGUUAAAAUCCUACCUAAAAAACAAAUCUUUAACCUUAAACUUUCAAUUCUUCUAACUCUGUGAUCUCUUUAAUAAAAGGAUUUUCUGAAUACUAAAGAUAAGAAAAAAUCUAAUUUGUACCUAGGUUUGUAAAAGUGAAAAGACUUUUUUACCCUUAUUAAAUUAACUUAAUUAAUUAGUUUUUUAUAAAUUACAAUUUUACCUUUAAAUUGGGUUUGGUGUAUUACAAUAUUAUUUUUCUUUUUUGGUUUUCACCUAUUUUUUAAGAGUUAUUUUAAAAAAUAAUUAUAAAAAUAUGUAUAAUAAUUAAAAAUAAAAUUAUAAAUAUAAAAGUUAAUUUUAAAAUAUAUUUAAAAAUAAAAAAUAAGUUAAAAGUAUUUAAGUUUUUAAACAAAUUCUUGUUUUACCAAACAUGAAUAACAAUCUAAAUAUCAUAUAAUAAUUUUUAAAAACUAUUUUUUAAAAUUAUAUUCAAAAAAAGUUAUCAGUACGUACGAUAAUACCAUAUAUAUAUAUAUAUAUAUAUAUAUAUAUAUAUAAUAAAAAUGAAAAGUAAUAAUAAUAAUAAUAAUAAUAAUAAAUAAAUAAAACCCAUUUCAUGAUUCAUGCUCGAAUAAGAAUCCUGUAGAAAUGGAAGCAGGUGCAGAGCCUCAUAGCGAGAAAAGAUGGAGAUGAAAGCAGAGCUGGUCUUCAUCCCCAUCCCUGAGAUUGGCCAUUUCCAAUCCAUGCUUCAGCUCGCCAACCAUCUAGUCAGCCGCCACCACGCCUUCUUUGUCACCUUCCUUACCUUCAACGCCUUUUUUGCCACCGCCCCACCACCACCCGCCGCCUUUACCCUCACCGGAAUCCGCUUCAUCAACCUCCCUCAAGUUGACCUUCCUCAAGUCGACGACGUCUCCGGUGUGGACUACUAUCUUCUCUCUCUCCAGCUCCUGAAACCAGCUCCAGACUCGGCCGAGUCGUAUCCGCCUCGAAGUGGACCGCGACGAGUCCGAUACCAGAUACCUAGACUCGGCCUGAAUCGGUUGGACUCGGAUGAGUCGACCGAUAUUCCGAGUUAACUCGGGCAACUCGGGGAAAAAAUUCAAUGGAUUCUCUGCAAAAAGCCCCACAACAAAUCUUGAUUUUUCAGAGAAAUCAGAGAUUCCUCUACAAAAGAAAACCUACGAAACCUAUGAAAAUAAAAAAAAAACCCGUGAAGAUUUGACAAACCUGUGAGUCCGUGACCCUUUCAAUUUUUCAAAAGCCUUUAAAAAGAGGCUCGGUUGAAGAAAUCCACCAUUGUCGGAGUCUAUAAUCCUCAUCUUUGGUGCGGUGCUUGGUGGAAGGUAGCAAAUCGUGCCACGAGAGGCUGCGUCUUCGUGGUUUGGGGAAGAAGACAGAGGGCUGCAUCAGUGCAUCAGAGCAUCAGCAUCUUCGUGGUGUUGGUGACUGCUGAGUUGGGGAAGAAGAAGAAGAGGGCCUUCGUGGUGUUGCUGUGUAAGGGCUUAGGGCUGUUGCUGUUUUGGGGAAGAAGAAGAAGAUAGAGGCGUGGUGUUGCUGGGGAAGAAGAAGAAACAGAGGGGGUUAGGGCAGCCUGGGCAGGAGGAGGUUUGAGUCGUUUGACCUAGGUAACAAAUUCAUAUAGACUUAUAUUGAAUAAUUUAAUUCAAUCAUAGAAUAGGUUAGAAUUUUAUUACUUGAUUUAAUAGGAUUUAGUCUUGCAAAUCUUAAAUAUUGUUCCUAAUUUAUAUGAUAUAUUAUUCCUUUUCAAUUUAAUAUAUGUAAUCUUUAUAUAUAAUUGAAUAUUGUUGCUAUAUAUAAUUUGUUAUUCAUUUUCAAAUAUUGUUGCCAUAUAUCUUAUAAACUAAAUAAGAUAUAAUUAAUAAUUUUAAAGUAUUUCAUGAAUUUUUUAAUUUUUAAAAAUAAUUUUGAAAUUUAAAAACCAAUCUAAUUAAUUACAUAUAAAAUAAAAUUUUUUAUAAUAUUAUGUUGAUAAUUCAAUUCUAAAUGAGUACAUGGAAUGAAAAUUUUGCUCAUUUUUAAAAAGUUAAACUUUAUUAAUUAUUCAAUUUAAAUAAAAUAUUAUGAAAAAUUAUUAGUUUAAAUAUUUAUUAUUAAUUUUUAACCCAAAAAAUGAUAAAGAUGUUAAUAUUUUUAUGUUUCUAACAUAUGCUAAAAUAGUAUUUUUUUUUAUAAAAAUAAAAUAAAAUUAACCUAUAAUUUUAUUUAAUAUCAUAUAUAUAAUAUGUUAUUCCUUUUCAAAUUAAUAUAUAUAAUCUUUAUAUAUGGUUUAAUAUGUUGCUAUAUAUAAUCUAUUAUUUCUUUUCAAAUACUAAAUAAGAUAUAAUUAAUAGUUUAAAAUUAUUUCAUGAAUUUUUUAAUUUUUAAAAAUAAUUUUGAAAUUAAAAAACCAAUCUAAUUAAUUACAUAUAAAAUAAUUUUUUUUUAUAAUAUUAUGUUGAUAAUUCAAUUCUAAAUGAGUACAUGGAAUGAAAAUUUUGACUCAUUUUUAAAAAGUUAAACUUUAUUAAUUAUUCAAUUUAAAUAAAAUAUUAUGAAAAAUUAUUAGUUUAAAUAUUUAUUAUUAAUUUUUAACCCAAAAAAUGAUAAAGAUGUUAAUAUUUUUAUGUUUCUAACAUAUGCUAAAAUAGUAUUUUUUUUAUAAAAAUAAAAUAAAAUUAACCUAUGAUUUUAUUAUAAUAUCAUAUAUAUAAUAUGUUAUUCCUUUUCAAAUUAAUAUAUAUACUCUCUAUAUAUGGUUUAAUAUUGUUGCUAUAUAUAAUAUAUUAUUUCUUUUCAAAUAUUAUUCCUAUAUGUCUUAUAAACUAAAUAAGACAUAAUUAAUAAUUUUAAAUUGUUUCAUGAAUUUUAAAAUUUUUAAAAAUAUAAUGUACAAGAAAUUGUCUUGAAUACUUUAAAAAUAUCACUCAAUUUUCUAUUAGUAUAAAUAAAUUUAGAUUAUAUUAGUGACAAAAAAUUUCCCUAUUACUCAAUUACAUUAAUACUAUAUCGCAAAAUUAAAUUACUAUACAAAAUUAAUCAUUAUUGAAAUUUUUUUCUUCAAAUAAUCAUAAAUGAUUUAAUAAUACGGAAUGAAGGGUAUGCAUUUACAUGGUCAAUUACAUUGAUUUUAAUUUAAAAAACAUAUAAAUAAGUGGAAAACAAAAGAUGAUGAACUUAGGUGAGAUCAUGUUUAUUGCUUUUUUAGUACAAUUUAUUUUUAUAUGACAACAAUAUGAAACAUAUAAGUGAGUGGAAAAUUGAAUAUUAUAAUUUUUAUAUAAAUGUGUUUAUAUAUAUUCAAUUUGAAAAGUAAAUUGUUUUCCUUUUAUACAUGGUUAGGUUAAAAUUUCAAAAUGGCUUCAAAACAUGAUAUUGGUUGGGAGCAUGCAGAACCUGUUGGUGGUAGUAGAAGAACCACAAAGUGUAAAUAUUGUGGGAAAGUUAUACAUGGCGGUAUAACAAGAUUAAAGCAACACAUCGCACAUAUAUCUGGACAAGUGGAAGGAUGUCCACAUGUACCGGUAGAAGUGUCACAUAGUGUUAGACAACAUAUGUCUAAUACUUCAAAAGAAAAAGCACAGUUAAAGAAAAAAAAAGAACGACUUUUGAAUUCCUUAAAUAGAGAUAAUUUCUAUGAAAUUGAUGAGAGUGAUUCUGAUGAUGAAAUUGAGGAAGUUGCUAUGGCUGAUUUUGAAAGAAGACAAAUGAAACAAGCAAUGAAAGAAAGUCGUCGAAUUUUUGAAGAAGGUGGACAAGAGCAUCAGCAGGGUGGUAGUUCCUCACAACCUUCUAAUGCUAGGAUUAAGCGCGGACUGACACGUAGCUUCAGUGUAAGAGAAGGAGCUAGCAUACCUCCAAAAGGAAUUGAUCCCUACAUGUUCCCAUCAAAGCAGAAAUCAAUAAAAAGCUUGUUUUCUACUGAAGGCGUGAAGAAAGUGGGUAAAGCUAUUUCUAAAUUUUUUCUCUUUAAUGCAAUACCCUUUAAUGCAGCUGACAGUGGGCCUUACUAUCAAUCAAUGAUUGAUACCAUAGCAGAAGCAGGUCCAGGCAUCAAGGGUCCCACGGGAUACCAAAUUGGAAAUACAUAUUUGGAAGAGGAGGUGCAAGAACUUGAGGUAUACAUAACAACAUUGAAGGCUAAAUGGCCUAUAUAUGGGUGCACAAUCAUGUGUGAUGGUUGGAGUUCUAGAACUAGAAAGCCUAUCAUCAAUUUCAUGAUUUAUUGUGAUAGAAGUAUGAUAUACCAUUCUUCAGUUGACACUACCAACAUACCUAAGACAGCAGACUACAUCUUUUCCCUUAUGGAUAAAGUUGUAGAGGAGGUUGGGGAGGAAAAUGUUGUUCAAGUAGUCACUGAUAAUGAGGCAAGUUUUAAAGCAGCCGGCAUGUUGUUGAUGGAGAAGCGAAAGCAUUUGUUUUGGUCUCCUUGUGCAGCCCACUGUAUUGAUUUAAUGCUUGAAGAUAUUGGAAACAUGAAGCAGAUUAAGGAGACAUUAGAUCAGGCUAAGAUGAUCACAGGAUUUAUUUAUAAUAGCUUGAAAGUGGUGAAUUUGAUGAAAGUGUUCACCAAGGAUAGAGAUCUGUUAAGGCCAGGAAUAACCCGUUUUGCCACUGAAUUCAUUUCACUUGAGAGUCUUAUACGUUAUGAGGCUGAUUUGAAGAGAAUGUGUACAACAAAUGAGUGGCGUGAAUUCAAUAAAGAUAGGAGCAGAAAAAGUGUAAGAGAUAAGGUAUCCAACCUUAUCUUAACUGAUCGAUUUUGGAAGAAGGCCGAAAAAGUUCAAACCAUCAUGGAACCUCUCGUCAAAGUAUUGAAAUUGGUUGAUCAAGAUAAAAAGCCCACACUAUCAAUCAUUUAUGAAGCAAUGGAUAGAGCUAAAUUGGCUAUCAAGGCAUCGGUCAAGCAAUGGGAAAAGUAUUGGGAAGUCAUUGAUAGAAGGUGGGAAUGUCAAUUGCACAGACAUUUGCAUGCUGCAGGUAAUAAAAAAACUCUUUAUAUAUUUUUUAUUAAUUUUUUUAAGUACAAAUUAUUAUAAAUUGAUCAUUAUUUAACUUAUGGCAGCAUAUUUUUUAAAUCCAAUGUUCCCAUANNNNNNNNNNNNNNNNNNNNNNNNNNNNNNNNNNNNNNNNNNNNNNNNNNNNNNNNNNNNNNNNNNNNNNNNNNNNNNNNNNNNNNNNNNNNNNNNNNNNAAUUAGUCCUCAAAAGCCCGAAUGAAUAUUUUUUUCACUUUUAAAAAAAGUAUGCUGUUUGAGCAGGCCAAAUUCAGGUUCUCAACUAUGGCCAUGAUGGUUCUUUUCUUCUCCGUCACAACCCCAGUGGGAAUAGUGCUAGGCAUUGGAAUAUCAAGAAUUUACCACGAAAAUGGCCCAACUGCACUCAUAGUUGAAGGGGUAUUUGACGCGGCAUCGGCUGGGAUCUUGAUAUACAUGGCGCUGGUGGAUCUUCUAGCGGCGGACUUCAUGAACCCGAGGCUGCAGAGCAGCCUGAGGCUCCAGUUAGGGGCAAAUAUCUCCCUUCUUUUAGGGACUGGCUGCAUGUCUUUCUUGGCCAAAUGGGCUUGAUGAGUUUUGAUCAAUUUUGAUGUACGUCUAAAUGUAAAUCUACGUCUUUUCUUUCUUGUGUCUGUUUUUGGCUUUAUAUAUAGCAGGACGCAUACAAAAAUAUGCAAGUGAUGGUUCCUAAGCAAACAAAUGGAGCCAAAAGUGAAGUUUUCCCUUGAUUUUUCCUCCCUUUUCUGUCAACAUAAAGCAAUGGAAUCGCAUGAUGAAAAGGCUUUUUUCAUGAUUUUGUAUGUGAAUAAAGAUACAUACAUAACCAUAAGAAAUGAUUUGGAUGCCCCUAGAAAGUUGUAUUCCACGUUGGUUUUUGGCCCCUUAACAUGCUCAAAAAUGCCUCUCACCACCACCACCACCUUCCACAUUCCAUGGGCUUUUAGGGUUUUUUUUUCCUUGGUGAGAAACAACUACACGGACAAUAAUAUAAACCUCAAUUCUCACUUCCAUCAUCUCUAGUGGAGAACUUUGGAAUCAACAUAGUAGGGUUACUAUACCUAGAGAACCUACCAAGGCAUCUUUUUUAGUUCUCUUCCUUUCCGGCAAAAAACCAUGCAUAAUCAACUGGAAAAAGCUCUCAAAAUUUGUUGAUGUGCCUUUGUUUGAUUAGAAUAUGGAAUAAUAUGCAUAGUGUUGGUGAAAAAUUAUAUGUUCAAUCUCUUAAAUUUGAACUCACUAUUAGAGGUCAUCGUCGAUCGAUUGUUAAGAUAUGGACUCACAUAUCUAACAAUAGUUCAUGACUAAAUUAUUCACUCUUAUAGUAUUUGUUUUUUGUUCGUUCUAAGUAUGGACCACCUCAUGUGUAGAGCCCAAUUCCAUAUGUGUCUCAGAUGAUGGGGCUGAGACACAUAUGACCUAAUCUUUUAAAUGGAAUAGUCCCUAAGGCAGGAGGGUAUAAAUAUUAAGGAAAAUGUCUGUUCUCAGGUAUCACAUCUUUUGAAACAAGAACAGAACCCAUUCUCUCUCCUCCCAUUGUUAGAGAGAAUAUAGAGAAAGGUGGUGCCCUCUACAACCUUAGAAGAUCCAUACCUCUUCAACAAAGCGUAUGAUGGAUUCAGGUUGGUUCCCUUUUCUGGUGAUCAAGGCAUGUUUUCAAUGUUUGAUAUAAACAAUAUUCAGUUUCCAUUGUUUGGGUGAAAAAUGGAGUUUAAAUAAAGAUAUGAUCACCCUCGAAGUACUCAAAGUAAUAUUCCUAAUUACAUGACAUAAACUAGAUCCAAUUUGAAUUUGAAGUCAUCCAAAAUUUGAAUUAGUUGUAUUUCUUUGAUCUCUCCGGUGAUAAACAUCAAUUUCUUUGAUCUCUACAUUUUAUCAAUAUGUUCAUGCAUGCAACUAAGGUUUAGUAAAACCCUAGUCAACUAGAUAUAGUUUCCAAAGGAAAGUGUUGUAGUAUGUGGCUCAUAUUGAGUGAAAGACAUAUAUGGAGAAGAAAGGGCAAAUGCUGAAGUGAAAUAGAGUGGAACGAGGGGAGUGUAGUGAGGGUUAAUAUAAAUACCAUUUUCUUGUAACCCUAAUUUUUGGUGUAAUGAAAGUCUUCAAUCCUGCUCUGUGGACAAAGACAUUUUGUCGAACCACAUUAAAUCGAUGUGUUUUUUUCUUUUAUUUUUCUCCAUUUUCUUUAUUAGAAAUUCCUGCAGGAAUAACAACAGAAAGGUACAACCAUAACAUCGGAAACAUGGAAUUCCAAAGAAAAAGGGACAAGCAUAACAAUUGUAAAAAUAAACCAAUUUGACAAGGUGUUGAUUGAAGAUACCAAGUCAAGAUUUGGAGUCUCUUUCAAAACUACUUUUGAAAGUAGUUUUUUCAUGAAUCUCUUUUGAAAGUAAGCUAUUUUGUAAAAUAAUUUGAGGUAUUUUCAAUUAUUUUUUUUUAGUAAUAAUUGAAAAUAUAAAUGAUAUUUUGAAAACCUUUAUAUUAUACAUAUAAUAUUUUUAUAGAGAAUAAAUGAAGAAAAGUGUUUUUUAUAUUGGAUGAAUUUUGAAACAGCAUCUCAUUCAAAUGGAUUCUAGAAUUUGUUCUCAAAUCUUUUUUUCAAAAUAUAAAAAUAAAAAAAUAUUAUUUUUGGAAACAUUGAAUAAUCCAUAAUUUUCUAUCCUCCCAAGUUGAUUAUGCUGCCAAAAGUAAAGGGCUAGACAGGGAGAAUGAAACAUUUUCUUCAACUUAUAUAUCAUGUAAAGUAAGAAGAUUCUUUUUAAGAAGGAAACAAGAAGCAUCCUUGCAAUUGGUAUGGAAGUUUUUGUGAAAGAACAUGCCUUAACUUCUAACAUUUAGGCUUUCUAUUGUUUGGUUCUAUAGAUAAAAAUAAAAUAAAAUUAUAAAAGAAUGCAUUUUUUCUUAAACUUUCAUCCUUUUCUAUCUAAGGAAAAUGGGAAGGAAAUUUUUUUAAUGGCUUCUUUUCCUUAUACUAUGUUUGGUUACUAAGAAAAGGAAAAAAAAACACAAUUAAAGAAAAUGAUUUUGCUCUUAUGUUUGGUUGCCAUGAAAAAAAAGAUAAAAAAAAAUAUUAAAGAAAACAUGAGGGGAAAAUGCGAAAAGAUUUUUUCAAUUAAGGUGAGGAAAGCUUGAGGAAGAGUAUCUCUUAAUAAUUUAAUUUAUUUUAUUUUUUUCUCAAUUUUUCAAUAAACAACUCAACAAAAUAUAUAUAUAUAUAUAUAUAUAUAUUAAUUUACUAUAACUUUUUCUUUCCCUAUAUUCCUCCUUUGCAUUUUCUUUCCCUCAAACCUUCUUAUAAUCAAAUAUAUUCCUAGUAUUCUUUUCUAAUGUUUUUCCAUGUGAUUCAAAUAUGAGAAAAUCAUUUUUUUAAAAAUAAUUUUUAUAAAUUAUUAGAAAAUCUUAGAAAAAAAAUGAAAAAAAAAUAAAAAAAUAAAAAAUAGAUUUUAAAAAUUAAUAAAUUAGUUUAUAUAUUUCUUCGGACAUAUUUCUCUUAUUUUUCAUCUUCUACGUGGAGACCGAAUAAUUUGAAAAUAUAUAAAUAUUUAAUUAAAAGUACAUGUUGAAGACCCCAGUAAACCUUGGGCUGGGCCCACAUGUCGGGCCAAGUUGGCUAACCCAACAUGUAUGUGGUCCAGCAUGAAUGGGCGACCAGGCCUUGAAUCAGUUUUGAACCCGACCCAAAUCAAUUUUUGGGCCCAACCCAACAGGUGACCCAAAUCAAUAGGCCGGCUUGGAGUACUAGAGCCUCCGAGUUGACCCAAAGGCUUGAUUAGGUUUGCAUGGGCAUGAACCAUAAAAUAUUCUCCAUUUUGUUUUCCUUAAAUUUAUAUACCUUCUUCUAAAUCAUAUAUCAGUGUUUUGAUCUGAUCGGUCACAUUUCUGGUCCAGUUCACACUUUUACAGAGAAAGGGGAACCACUACCACAUGGCCAUUUGUACGGUUCACGAAAUUUUUUUCAUUAAUUUAAUCUCUUGAAUAAACCUAAAUAUUUAAGUGUAUUUUAUUUUUAUAAUGUUAUAUAUGAGAAGAAUAUAAAUUAAAUAAUAUAAUAAUUUUUAAAAUUUUGUAAAACAAUUAGAUAUAUAAUUUUUGACAUAUAAUUAUAAUUAAAUAUUAUAUUUUUCCUUUCCUCUUAUGUUUUAUUAAAAAAAUUAAAAAUAUUGAUACAUUUAUAUUUAAAUUUAUCAUCAUUGAAUUAGAUAAUAUCAAAUGUAAAAAAUGAGAUAUUAUGAAAAAUUUAACUAUACAUGUCUUAAUUUCUUAUAAUUACUUUUAAUUUUAUAUAAUAUAAAAAUUCCAUAUUUAUAACGUGUUCGACUAUAAUCAAGAUUAAUGAAUCAUGAAUUGAUAACUUUUUUUGUUUAACGACUGGUCUGAUUUUGAAAACAUUAUAGUAAAUGUUAUCUCACUUCAUUUUAUUUGACAAAAGAGGUAUUUAUCUUUAUAACAUCACUAAGACCAAUGAAUUGUGAAUUAAUAUUUUUUUUUAUUCAAUGACCAAUCCGAUUUUAAAAACAUGUAGUAUAUACUUUUUCGGUUCAUUUUAUCCAACAAAAAAACAUUUAUAUUUUAAACUUUUUUUAAUCCCUCUUUAUUGUAUAAUAUAUGUUUAGUUAAACAAAAUCUUUAUUUUUAUUGUUUUUAUUAUUAUUAUUUUAUUAUAGUUGAGCUUAAAGUUUGAAUAGUCUAAAAUUUAACAAAAGGAUAACCUAAAAAGAUAGUUACGAAAACUAUAUACAAAUAUAUACUAAAUAUAUUUUAGCAUAGAAAUCAAAAGAGAAGUUAUAAACUAAUGUGAAGGUAUAAUAUAAGUGAAUUAAGUCCAUCUAACUCCAAAUAUAAUAAGACUAAAAGUGAUCUAAGAAGAUAAUAAACCAUAGGGAAACUAUGAAGUCAUCAACCAAGAGAAGUAGAGUCCUUAUCACUUAUUUUUUAAGUUGUCUAACACAAGAGAGAUCAUGUCCAAGUCUGCAUACUUGUCAUAGGUUAAAGGCAAUGUAACAUUAUGUUAUAGGGCGAAGCAAUGAGGUAACCGUGGGGAGUAGGAUAGACCCUUCAACAUUAGGUUAUGUUUGGUUCCCAGAAAAUUUGAGGGAAAAUGUAAGGAAAAGAAAAUACAAAAGAAAAGUAGAAGGAAAAUAAAAAAAUAGAUUAAAAGUCAAUAAAUUAUUUUUUUUUGUUACUUCAAACUCAUUUUAUUUAUUUUAACUCAUCAAUAUAAAAAUUAAAUGAUUUAAAAAUAUAUAAGUUUUUAAUUAAUUUUAUUUUCUUUUAUAUUUUUGGUCACUUGUCUAACCUUCCUUCUCAAUCAUUUCAAAACACGACCAUCCUCAUCCCCACCCUCUUUUUUACCACUUUGGCAUCUUUACCAUUACCUUCUUCAUUGGGAUGGUUGUAUAAAAAAUUUGACUCUCAUUUUAUUGGGUUAGGAAAAAUUCAACCAAUUAGAUGGUUUUAUGUUUAUAUUUUCUAUCAAGUUUAUUCUCAUUACUUUAAAUCUCACCCAGAUAUUUAUAUUUGAUUUUUACGUAUUGUCUUUGUGUUAUUUAUAUACUCCUCUUAAUUUUAUAAACUUAUUUUAAAACUGUGAAAGUUUCUUUAAAUCUAAAAUGGACAAUAUCCGACCGUAAUAUGAGUUUUCAUUUGUUUUCUUAAUCUUAUAGAUGGAUACAACUUAAUCUCAUUGUUUAUUCUAUCAUUCAUUAAUUUUUAACGAUUUGAAUGUAAAAAUUUGAUAUUUAUAAAAUCGAGAUUGAAAUUAUGUUGAACUAUUAAUUUUUGAAAAAUUUUAAAAUUUAUUUUAAACUACUAAUUUAAUAAAUAAAAAAUUGAAUAACUAAAUAAUGGUAAAGAUAUUUGUUUCUAAACUCCCAAAAAGUAGCAUUUUUACUAAUAGUAAUAUGAUGAGACUCGACGUAUUGGUUUGCACUUUUGUGGCCAUGGUGGGAGAUUCUCUCAUUUCUAGCCACCCAUAUGAAUUUGCAGCAACCAGCAGUGCCCAUUCUUUUCCUUCUCCUUCCCCCUAUAAAGAGCUUGUGACCUUUCUCAAAGGACCCAUCACUACCCUCAAUGGCCUCUGCCCCCACUCUCUGUAUCACCGCCACUAACCUUCUCAUUCUCCUCAUUUUCUUCCUCCCUAGCUUAGUCUUGUCUGACUGCUCAUGUGAUGAAGCUGAGCACUCUGAUCACCCCAGUAAUGGAGGUGAAUCACUCAAGUAUAAGCUUGCUGCAAUUGCCUCCAUCCUUGUUGCAGGUGCAGCUGGGGUUAGCAUCCCUCUACUGGGGAAGAAAGUCCCAGCUCUAAAUCCCGAAAACCACAUCUUCUUCAUGAUCAAGGCCUUUGCUGCAGGCGUGAUUCUAGCCACUGGUUUCAUUCACAUACUUCCCGAGGCGUUUGAGAGGCUCACUUCGCCUUGCCUCGGGGAGAAUCCUUGGGGGAAGUUCCCGUUCACCGGGCUUGUUGCCAUGAUGUCCGCUAUAGGGACACUCAUGGUGGACACUUUCGCGACGGGGUAUUAUAAGAGGCAGCACUUCAGCAAGCCUAAACAAGUGACUGCCGAUGAGGAGAGGGGUCAGGAGCAUGCAGGGCAUGUGCAUGUCCACACACAUGCCACACAUGGCCAUGCCCAUGGCUCGGCCAGCCCAUCCGAUGAGGAAAGCCUCUCCGACCUCAUCAGACGCAGAAUCGUCUCGCAAGUGAGAUUUGAACCCAUCAUUAAUUCAAUACUCAAUUUGUUUUUUCNNNNNNNNNNNNNNNNNNNNNNNNNNNNNNNNNNNNNNNNNNNNNNNNNNNNNNNNNNNNNNNNNNNNNNNNNNNNNNNNNNNNNNNNNNNNNNNNNNNNNNNNNNNNNNNNNNNNNNNNNNNNNNNNNNNNNNNNNNNNNNNNNNNNNNNNNNNNNNNNNNNNNNNNNNNNNNNNNNNNNNNNNNNNNNNNNNNNNNNNNNNNNNNNNNNNNNNNNNNNNNNNNNNNNNNNNNNNNNNNNNNNNNNNNNNNNNNNNNNNNNNNNNNNNNNNNNNNNNNNNNNNNNNNNNNNNNNNNNNNNNNNNNNNNNNNNNNNNNNNNNNNNNNNNNNNNNNNNNNNNNNNNNNNNNNNNNNNNNNNNNNNNNNNNNNNNNNNNNNNNNNNNNNNNNNNNNNNNNNNNNNNNNNNNNNNNNNNNNNNNNNNNNNNNNNNNNNNNNNNNNNNNNNNNNNNNNNNNNNNNNNNNNNNNNNNNNNNNNNNNNNNNNNNNNNNNNNNNNNNNNNNNNNNNNNNNNNNNNNNNNNNNNNNNNNNNNNNNNNNNNNNNNNNNNNNNNNNNNNNNNNNNNNNNNNNNNNNNNNNNNNNNNNNNNNNNNNNNNNNNNNNNNNNNNNNNNNNNNNNNNNNNNNNNNNNNNNNNNNNNNNNNNNNNNNNNNNNNNNNNNNNNNNNNNNNNNNNNNNNNNNNNNNNNNNNNNNNNNNNNNNNNNNNNNNNNNNNNNNNNNNNNNNNNNNNNNNNNNNNNNNNNNNNNNNNNNNNNNNNNNNNNNNNNNNNNNNNNNNNNNNNNNNNNNNNNNNNNNNNNNNNNNNNNNNNNNNNNNNNNNNNNNNNNNNNNNNNNNNNNNNNNNNNNNNNNNNNNNNNNNNNNNNNNNNNNNNNNNNNNNNNNNNNNNNNNNNNNNNNNNNNNNNNNNNNNNNNNNNNNNNNNNNNNNNNNNNNNNNNNNNNNNNNNNNNNNNNNNNNNNNNNNNNNNNNNNNNNNNNNNNNNUGAUGAUUUUGAACCCCCUCGUCAUUCUGCAUGGAAUUGAUUGUUGUAGUGUAUGUGUUGUUAGUAAAAAUGUUAUUAUAUUUGAAAUAAAAUAACUUUCUUUUUAUUAGCAUUAUCAUAAAUAACUUUGAGUAGAUACUUUUAUAACUAUUUAAAUAAUGUUAAAUGUGAGACAAUUUUAUUUUUUUAAUUUUUUUAGCUUAUUUAAUUGUAUAUAUUUUUCUGAUGAUUUACAUAAUAUUUUUAUAUUUUUUUGAAUUUUCUAAUUAGCUUAUUUUACGUAUCACCCGAUACCAGGCCGAUACACCGAGACCGAUACGCCUCGGGACCCUCCGAGUCAGUGACCGAUAUCGCGACUUUGAACCAUGCCUGAAACCCCAGGUUAAGCACGCGAUACUGACCCAUGUGCUCGCCUCUGAUUCCCCCCAGCUCGCCGGGUUGGUACUGGACCCGUUAGCCUCCGCCAUGAUCGACCUUGCCGCGGAGCUCGACGUCGCUUCUUAUAUCUACUUCCCCAGCGGAGCAGCAAUGUUGGAACAAGUGCUUCGUUUCCCAGAUCUCGAUUCUCAAGUCAGUGAACUCCCUGCCACCGAGCGAUUUCGGUCAACUCAGUGUUGAGAUUUAAUAUGGUAAUUAACACACAAUAAUCCAGAUCAUUGAAUUCAAACUCAUCUAUGAUAAUAAUAAAACAUUAAUUAAUAAAUAGAUUACAUACCGUUUGAAGAACACGCAGCCAUGAGAGAUUUCCCUUCAGUUUAUAGAUCUUAAAUCUUUGAUCUCUUCUUCUCCUUAUCAAACAUUAAUACACAGAAUUGUUUUCUGUAAUUGAUGGAAGAGAGCACUCACCGCACAUGAAGGAGUUUCUGUAUAUAUAUCUUAUUGAUAGGAGAAGAGGGCCAAGAAUACACGUUCAAAAAAUCGUUCUGAACGUGUUAUUUGAAUAACUGUUUUUUAUUUCAAAUAAUAAUAUUAUAAUUAUUAUAAUUUACCCACUCCAUCAAGGGUAAAUAUCUUUAUAACAGUUUAAAGAUAUUGAGUAUUCUUUUAAUUGGCUAAAUACUAGGUUAGUGGGCCACCCACUUAAUUUUUAAUGUGGAAAUAACAUUCUCCCACUUGGCCCACUAAACCGAUUAUGAAAACUAUAAUAUAUUUAGUUUAUAUAUAAAAUAUAUACUGGAAAAUAAAUUUGACACGUGAUCACGAUUUCAAUAAACUUAGCCAAUACAUCCAAAAUCAUAUACCAUAAUACUGAAUCAGUUUAGAUCAUAAAUGCGAGUCAUGGCGGUCACAUGACCAUAAUGUCAUGUUUCCUUCCAUGCACCACACAUCAAUAACCCUUACUAACCCAGUCCUUAAUGCUAAAUAGCCCAUGUAAUUUGUCUGACAAUUCUUGUUUAUCAAACAAUAAAACGUGCACCCAUAAUUGAAAACAAGAAUAAACAGAAACAAUUUUAAUGCAUAAAUUGUCAAUUACAUAACCACCAUUCAUUAUCAUACAUAUUAUGGAUUACUCAAAAGGCCCAUCCUCAUAACAUGUUCCAAAUAUGCCUUUGGAGGUAAUCCUUUUGUUAAUGGAUCAGCAACCAUAAGUGUGGUCCUAAUAUUUUCAAUUGACACUUGUUGUUUCUGGACUCUUUCUUUAACAACUAAAUACUUUAAAUCCAUGUGUUUCGAUCCACUAGAAAAUUUGCCAUUCUUAGAGAAGAAAACAGCUGCGGUGUUAUCACAGUAUAUUCUCAAAGGUUUAGCAAUAGAGUCGACAACACCAAGCCAUGAGAUAAAAUUCCGCAACCAUAAAGCAUGACUUGAAGCUUCAAAACAAGCAACAAACUUGGCCUCCAUCGUGGAUGAAGCAGUAAUUGAUUGUUUUUCACUCUUCCAUGAAAUUGCCCCAUUUGCUAUCAUAAAGACAAAUCCUGAAGUUGACUUUAAGCUAUCGAGACAACCACCAUAAUCAGAAUCCGAGUAACCGACAACCUCUAAUUGUUCUGAUCUUUUAUAUGUGAGCAUAUAAUCUUUUGUCCCUUGUAAGUACCUCAUCACCUUCUUUGCAGCUUUCCAGUGUUUGAAUCCUGGAUCACUUUGGUAUCUUCCUAACAUGCCUACAGUAAAGCUGAUAUCCGAUCUUGUACAUGUUUGAGCGUACAUCAAACUCCCCACAGCUGAUGCAUAAGGAAUUUUCUUCAUUUGCUCCAUUUCUAUGUUAUUCCUUGGGCACUGCAUUUUACUUAAUUUGUCACCUUUCAAUAUAGGUGCAAUAUCCGAUGAACAUGACUGCAUAUUAAAUCUCUCUAAAACCCGAUCAAUAUAUCAUUUAUGAGAUAAACCUAGCACUCCUCGAGAUCGAUCCCUAAAGAUCUCAAUGCCAAUAACAUAGUUUGCCUCACCCAUAUCAACCAUAUGAAAGUUUUUAGAGAGAUAUUCCUUGGUUUCACGUAAUAAACCAAGAUCACUGCUAGCAAGCAAAAUAUCAUCCACAUACAGUAUCAGAAAUAUAAACUUGCUCCCACUAACUUUCAGAUAUAUACACUGAUCAACAAUGUUCUCUUUAAAUCCGAAAUAUGUAAUGGUAUUAUUGAACUUAAUAUACCAUUGUAUGGAAACUUGUUUAAGACCGUAAAUGGAUUUCUUUAAUUUGCAAACUAGGUGUUCAUUUCCUUUCUUUGCGAACCCUUCAGGUUGUUCCAUAUAGAUAUCUUCAUCCAAAUUCCCAUUUAAGAAUGCAGUUUUCACAUCCAUUUGAUAUAACUCUAAAUCAAAAUGAGCUACAAGUGCCAUGAUGAUUCUAAGCGAAUCUUUCUUGGAAACUGGAGAGAAGGUAUCUUUGUAAUCGAUACCUUCCUUUUGAGUGAAACCUUUGGCCACAAAUCUGGCCUUAAAUCGUUCGAUAUUGCCUUUAGCGUCGCGCUUUGUCUUAAAGACCCAUUUACAGCCGACGGGUUUACAAUUAUUAGGCAAUUCGAUGAGAUCCCAGACACCGUUAUGGGCCAUAGAUUUCAACUCUUCAUUCAUAGCUUCCAUCCAUUUACUAGAAUCAUCACUUUCCAUGGCUUGUGAAAACGAAACCGGAUCCUUCCUUAUCCUAAUAUCAAAAUCAGAUUCCUGUAGGUACACCACAUAAUCAUCUGUAAUGGCAGGUCUCCUUUCUCUUUGAGAUCUCCUCAAAGGUGCCGGUUGUGGUGGCUCUACAGCAUUUUCAAUGGCAAUAUUUUCUAGUGGUAAUGAACCAUCUCUAUUAUGUUGCUCAUUAUCCUCAACUUGUUGAACAGGUUGAGGGACAAUAAUUUCUUGAGGUAAAAAAGGUGGUGGGAUAUCCACUCUUAUCUCCUCAAUAUCUACCUUUCUUGGUUCAUUACUCCCACUGAUUUCGCCAUUCUCUAAGAAUCUGGCAUUACCGGUUUCAACUAUUCUCACACUGUGGUUAGGACAAUAAAAUCUGUACCCUUUCGAUUUAUCCUGAUAGCCAAUGAAAUAUCCAGAUAUCGUUCUUGAAUCAAGCUUUUUCUCAUGUGGGUUAUAGAUUCUUGCCUCCGCUGGACAACCCCAUAUAUGUAUAUGUCUCAAGCUAGGUUUCCUACCAGUCCAUAACUCGAAAGGAGUUUUUGGAACUGCCUUACUAGGAACUCUGUUCAAGAUAUACAUUGCGGUUUUUAAGGCUUCACCCCACAAUGAAAUAGGUACAGAAGAGUAACUCAUCAUACUCCUAACCAUUUCCAUUAAUGUGCGAUUACGCCUUUCAGCAACACCAUUCUGCUAUGGCGUACUAGGCAUUGUGUACUGAGCACGAAUGUCACGCUUUUCAAGGAAUUUGGCAAAAGGACCAGGAUUUUGUCCUGAUUCAUCAUAUCUGCCAUAAUAUUCACCGCCUCGAUCUGAUCUCACAAUUUUAAUCUUUUUAUCUAAUUGUCUCUCGACCUCUGUUAUGAACAUCUCGAAGAUGUCAAUGGCCUGAGACUUUUCAUGCAUUAGAUAAACAUAACCAUAACGAGAUAGAUCAUCUAUAAAGGUGAUAAAAUAUUUCUCUCCUAUGAAACAUGGAACAGAGAGUGGUCCACAAAUAUCUGUAUGAAUUAUCUCAAGGAGCUCAUUACUUCUUGUAGCACCUUUCUUUGUAUGUUUAGUUUGCUUUCCCUUUAUGCAAUCCACGCAUACAUGAAAAUCAGUGAAGUCAAGAUUUUGUAAAAUUCCUUCCUUCACUAAUCUUUCAAUUCUUUCCCUAGAGAUGUGCCCUAGUCUUCUGUGCCACAAGAUUGAAGAAUUUUCAUUAAUUAAGCCACGUUUUGAACCAACAUUUGAAUGCAGGGUUAUCAAAGCUUGUGCAAAUUCAUGAUUCAAGGAAAUUUUAUAUAAACCAUCACAUAAAAUACCAGAACCAACUGUAACAGAAUUCAACAUCAAACUUAAUUGUCCAGAACUGAAUAAAAUAGAAUAUCCAGUAGCAUCUAAUUUGGACAAGGAAACUAAAUUCCUAGAGAUAGAAGGUACAUAAAAAGUGUUUAAAAGAUCCAUCCGAUGACCCGUCUCUAAUAUUAAGCAAUAGGUACCAACAGCUACCACUUCAACCUUGAGACGGUUUCCCAUAUAGAGGAACUUUUCACUUUCCUUUGGUUUCCUGGUUGUAAGGAAUCCCUGCAUUAAAUUAGUCACAUGAGUUGUGGCUCCAGAAUCAAUCCACCAAGUAUUUGAAGGAACUUCAGCAAGAUUAGAUUCAUAACAUACAAAAGAAAGAUUUAUACCUCUCUUUUCGAACCAAGCCUUGCGCUUGAUACAGUCCUUCUUCACAUGCCCUUUCUUGCCACAAAAGUAGCAACUUACCGUGAAUUUUCCAUCAUGACUCUGGCUACCUUCCCCAGGUCCAUUUUUCUUAGGUGGAAAGUUCUUUCCCUUUUUGAAUUUUCCUUUCUUCUUCGUGACUCCAUGAGUUACAGCAAGAGCAAGAUUAUGUCAUUCUUGUCUUAAUCUCACUUCCUCUUGUAUACAUUUAUUGGUGAGCUCAUUCAAGUUCCACUGAUCACUGUUAGUAUUAUAGUGGAUUUUGAAUGGAGCAAACUGUGAUGGAAGUGAGUUAAGGACAAACUGUACUAAGAAGGACUCAUCCAUACCCAUGCCUAGUGCCUUAAGCUUUGCAGCCUUUUCAGUCAUGUUUAAAAUAUGUUGCUGAAUACCUUUCUGACCAUCAUAUUUCAUGGUGGUCAAUUCAGCCAUCAAUGUGCCUGCAAGGGACUUAUCAGCGCGUUUGGAGCGCUCCUCAACAGAUUUCAGAAAUUCCGAGGCAAACUCGGUUUGAGGGAGAGAGGUCUUGAUAUUAUUGGCAAUAGUCAUUCUCAUAAACAUCAGACUGAGUCUGUUUGAUUUUGCCCAGGCUUUUGAUUGUUCCACCUGCUUCGGAGUACUAUCAUCCGUAGCUUCAAGAGGUUUAUCAGUUAUUAAAGCCAAAUCAAGAUCCAAUACACCCAGUGAGAAUUGAACCCUUUCAUACCAUUCAGAAAAGUUUGACCCAUCAAAAACAGUCAUUCCAGAUGCAAGAGAGUGUAAUGAAGUGGGAACUGUACAAAAUAGAACAAUGCUCACAAUAAGGCCUCAAGUAUAAAAUAAAAAGCAAUGAACUAUUGAUAUCAUUAAAAUUCUCCUUUGGGUAAAUUUUAACAUAUCCAGUGUUCACUUGGAGGGAGCUUAAAACACUUUACUAUUUUGUGUCAUUUAUAUGUUACCUUUGGGUAUCCAUUUUACCUUUCUAAGCAACACAAAAUAAAAACAUUAAUUAAUAAUUAGCAGAAAUUGACUCUCCUUUGGGUUAGUCUCAUUCUCCUAAUUAUAAAGAAAAUUAUUAAGAAUUUUACAAGUCUCCCUUUAUUCUUUUAUGCAAUUCAAUAAAUACAAGGCUCCCUAAUUUAGGUUACUUUGGCAACUAUCCAAAUUAGUUAACCUUACAUUUAUAAAUUGUCUUUAGAUAAAAUAUUCACAAGAUGAAAUUAAUUCUUUUAUUUGAGUUAAAAAUCAAGGAGAUAGUAUCUUUAAUAAUCAUCUGAUUCAAUGAUCAAUUAUCAUAAAAUCAAAGAAAUCUGCAUUCAUCAUAUAUAAUAAUAAUUUCACAAAGGUUCAAAUAAAAUAAUAAAAUCAAUCAAGAUCUUUGGAUUAGCGCCUAAAAUGGCACUUUUGGAGAGCCUGAAAAGGAUGCCUGAAGCGCACCUAAAACGGCACUGCAAACGGCAAGAAAAUAGCGCCUGCAAAUAGCGCCUCUAAUGGCGCCUGCAAAUAGCGCCUCUAAUGGCGCCUGCAAAUAGCGCCUCUAAUGGCGCCUGCAACUAGCGCCUCUAAUGGCGCCUGAGAAACGGUGCCUGCAACCAGGAGAUGGCGCCUGAAAAUGGCGCCUUCAAUAGCGCCGGCAAUGGUGCCUGCAACCAGCAGAUGGAGCCUGAAAACGGCGCCUUCAAUGGCGCCGGCAAUGGCGCCUGUAACCAGCAGAUGGCGCCUGAAAACGGCGCCUUCAAUGGCGCCGGCAAUGGCGCCUGUAACCAGCAGAUGGUGCCUGAAAACGGCGCCUUCAAUGGCGCCUUGACUGGAGCCUGAAACCGGCAAGAUGGUGCCUUCAAUGGCGCCUGGACUGGUGCCUGAAAAUAGUGCGAUGACGCCGGAAAUGGCGCCUAAAAACGGCCACCGGACUGAUGCCAAACCAGUCCGCCAAACCAGCGCCCCGCACGCGCAUUGAUCCAGUCAGCGUUAUAAGGAAAAAUAAAAAAUCUUCCUUCUACGCGUUGAGGCUGGUCGUUUGUUUAAUUAUUAUUAUUUUAUUUUAUUUUAUUCAUUUUAGUGAGAUGAAUUAAUUGAAGAUAAAUCUCAAAAAUUUAAUCUUUAUAAAACAAUGAUUCUGAAUAUUUAAAUUCAACCUUGCUCUGAUACCACUUGUUGAGAUUUAAUACAGAAAUUAACACACAAUAAUCCAAAUCAUUGAAUUCAAACUCAUCUCUGAUAAUAAAAAAACAUUAAUUAAUAAAUAGAUUACAUACCGUUUGAAGAACACACAGCCAUGAGAGAUUUCCCUUCAGUUUAUAGAUCUUAAAUCCUUGAUCUCUUCUUCUCCUUAUCAAACCUUAAUACACAGAAUUGUUUUCUGUAAUUGAUGGAAGAAAUCACUCACCGCACAAUGAAGGCGUUUCUGUAUAUAUAUCUUAUUGAUAGGAGAAGAGGGCCAAGAAUACACGUUCAAAAACCGUUCUGAAUGUGUUAUUCGAAUAACUGUUUUUUAUUUCAAAUAAUAAUAUUAUAAUUAUUAUAAUUUACCCACUCCAUCAAGGGUAAAUAUCUUUAUAACAGUUUAAAGAUAUUGAGUAUUCUUUUAAUUGGCUAAAUACUAGGUUAGUGGGCCACCCACUUAAUUUUUAAUGUGGAAAUAACACUCAGUUCCUCGGCGGGUUUUGCAGACGGCCAUGCUGGAAAAAGGCGAAAAUGGGUACGAUCCGAUGCUCUACCUAGGCCGAAGGUUUCGAGAAGCUAAGGGUAUUAUCGUAAAUACACUCAUAGAGUUAGAGUCCGAUGUGGCGGGGCUAGUUUAGAAUAGGCAGUAUCCGCCCGGUUUAUCCAGUUGGACCGUUGAUAGACCGGUCUGACCGGACUGAUGAUCGUAUCAUCAAGUGGCUCAAUGAUAAGCCGAUCGGUGCGGUGGUGUUCCUCUGUUUCGAUAGCAGAGGGGCAUUGGGUGUGGCUCAAGUGCAAGAGAUAGCGCAUGGACUCGAGCGCAGUGGAUACAACUUCCUCUAGUCAUUAUGCCGGCCGUCGAGGGUGAAACACGCUCUACCCUCAGAUUAUACGAAUCCGGCCGAAGUCUUGCCAGAUGGCUUCCUAGAUCGCACGGCGGAGAAGGGCUUAGUUUGUGGAUGGACCCCACAGUUGAAGAUCCUGAGCCAUAUCAAUCGGGGGGGUUCAUUUCACACGGUGGGUGGAACUCCAUCCUGGAGAGUUUGUGGUGUGGUGUACCGAUUAUGGUGUGGCCUAUGUACGCAGAGCAAAAACUCAAUGCGUGUAAAAUAGUGAGAGAAUUGGGAUUGGGUGUGGGAGUCACAGAGAAUGAGGACUACAUUGACGGUCAAGAUUUGUUAAUGAUUUACACGAACGGUGGAGAUCUGGUAAAGAGUGAAAAGCUGGAGAUAGGAGUGAAGAGGUUGAUGGACGGUGAUAAUGAGGUGAGGAGGAAGGUGAAACAGAUGAGUGACACGUUUCGAGAGGCUGUGAUGGACGGUGGAUCUUCGUUUGUCGUACUGCAACAAUUUAUUGAUGAUGUUUUCACCGAAAUAAAAUAAUAAGAUGGUAAGUGAAAAUAAAAUGGAUUUCUCUUCCAUACAUAGUCUAUGGAUCAAAUCAUCAGGUAACUUGAAUAUUUAGGUUACGUUGGUUAGUGAAAAAUAUUAAAGAAAGCAA